rnacentral:lncRNA from 1 species
AUAAAGAAAAUCCCACCCAAUACCCCAAAAAUAAAUUUUUCGCUAUAAUAAAAUUUGAAUAAAUAUAAGAAUAUAAAAUACAAUACAAAAUUAAAAGGGCCUGUUUGAAUGCAACUUCCGAUGAGUAAUCCAAAUAACCUGUAUAAACACUUGUAAAAAAAAUGUUAGUAACAAAUAAAUAAUAAUAAAAAUAAAUUGAACAAGUAUGUGUGCAUAUAAAUAUUAAAAAGAUAUUUUUUUUGUUAAAAGGUGGGCUCAGAUAAAGUCAUGACUGUGAAAUGAUUGCUCAAUUAAUUGGUCGUCCUAAAUCGUUUUGCUACGAAGUGGUUGCUCAAUUAAUUGAUCGUCCUAAAUCGUCUUGCCAAACUAUGAAUUGUAAAAUAUUGUAUUGUUAUAAAGUUUCAUCAUCGUUCAAAAAUAAUAUUUAUUUAUUACGUAUUUAUAUACGUAAAGUCCGUCUAUUAUUUACGGAGGCCUUAAAUUAAUAAUAAUUCUUCAUCGGUCAAUUAUGUAGUAUCUUAUUCAUUAUCAGCGUAAUAAAUAAAUACAGUUGAGCAAUGACAAAGCAAUCAGAAAUAGUAAGAGGGAAUAAAGUUUCUAGUCUAAUGACCCACUUACAACAUAAAACAACAUAAAACAAAUGCAAUUAUAGCCAAGCAGCAGUAUUCUGGCCAACAUAAAAAAAUAUCAGAACAAUUCAAAACAAUAACAUGGUAAGCAAAAUAAGAGAAGAAAACACCAUUUUUUCUUAUAGAUCAAGUAUUUAGGGGUGAUAACACUGGAGAAAACUCCAUGGUUUCCGGUGUUGCAGUGGAAAAGAGAGGAAGACAGUGGCGGUUUGAUGUUAUUUCAUGGCUAUUUUAGUGGUGGAAAGGUUGAGAGACGGUGGGAGUUCGUUGGGUAUCGUGGCGUUGUUCGCCGAUGGAGCAGCGGCGGGAAGGAGAUAAAAGGGGGGGAUUUCGUGGUGGUUUCUUUGAUUUUUUUUUGAUGGAUUGUAGCGGAGGGUGACUGGCGCGCAGUAGUGGCGGAGCUGUGCGGCUGGUCAGUGGGAAAAGAAGAGGGAAAGGGGAGUUACUGAUUUUUUUUUUGUAUGUUAGAGCGUAUGUUGUGUGUGUGUAUUUGUGUUCUAUGAGAAGAAAAAUGAAGUUUCGUGUGUAUGUGCCUUUUGAACGAAGAAGAAGGAAAAUGAGAAAAAAUGGAUUCUCCCUAUUCUGCAAGUGAGUGGGAUUGUAUAUCGGUGUUCUGUGUUCAUCCUCCGUCUGAUAGAUGGAUGGAUGAUAGGCUAUUUAUUUUGGGAAGAAAAUAUAAAAAAAAUGGUGGCUGUGUUGUAUGCUUAGUGUGUAAUAUAUCCGUUUAAAUUGAUCCGUUGUAAAAGAUGAUAAAUAUCAAAAUUUAAGAUUUUCUUUUGAUCUCUUUUUUACUUUUUAAAGAUCAUGAUUAUUGACUAGGUAAAAAAGCUAAAGAAAAAAAACCGUGUCCUUUCUGGUUUGUAUUGAUAUUCAAAAAGGGGGAAAUAGUAAAAUAAACAAGUCACACUUACUUUUCAAAUCUAAUUCCCUAAAUUAGGGAGAAUAGUUGGACAUAAUCCAAAAGUGACUGACACCUUGACUCUAAUUUAUUAUUUUUGUGUAUUAAAAUAAUUAAAUUAACUUAUUUUUGCAGGUUGUAUUAAAUAAUAUAUGUCGACGUAUAAUUAUUUAAAAAAAAAACAUAAACAAUAAAUAAUAAAAUAUAAUUAUAUUAGAAAAUGUAUUAUGUUAUGAAUAAUUAAAAUUAUAAUUAUGUAAAAGAAUUAUAGUGUUAUGUUAUGCAUGUAGAUGAUUGUGUAAAAGAUACUAAAAAUGAUAUCAAACUGAUAAAAAUUGUAAAAUAAUAAAAUUAAGGAUAACUAUGUAAAAAUUAAAAUAUGAUAAUAAAGUAAUAAAAUUCUAAAAUAAAGACAAUUAUCAGUAACUUGUCGGAUGUGAUAAGACAUUAUUGUGCGAUCCUUGUCAGAUGUGACAAAAAGUCAAAUUAUUAUACUGUUCAAAAUAAUUGAUCCGACUCAGCAUUUGCGGACUGUAAAAAUAUAGAAAUUGAUUUGUAAUUAUGAAAAAAAAUGUAACGAAUGUUAAAAAUAUUUAAAAUGUAAUUAAUUUCAAAAAUGUUAUAAAAAUGUGAUGUCAUGUACGUGUGCAAAUAUUUGUAAAUAAUAAAUUGAUAAGAAUUAUUAAUAAUUAUAAAGAAUAAAAAUAUAAAAAUAAAUUGAUAAAAUCCUAAAGUAAGGAUGAACAUCAAUAAAUUAUUAUCAAUUACAAAAAAAUAUGUGAAAAUUGUAUUUUGUGUCCUUUAAUGGUCAGGAAGCCUGAAUAUAUUAACUUUAAACACAAAAAGCAAAAAUUGGGUGUCAACAACUAUCUGAACAGUCACAUCUUUUCCAAAAUAAUAUAUUUUUUCCUUAAAAAUUGUGUCCCUCCAUUUUCCAUUCACAUCAAUUGAACCCAACAUUUUAAAACUUCUCAAUUUCUAGUUAAAGCAAACUAACAAUAAUAGCAUACAUAAAUGAUUGAUUAGAUAGACAAAUUUAUAUACAGUUACAGAUUGAAGACGUUGUGUAAUCAUAUUUAUGAUAAAAUUUCCGUAAAGAACACUUACUUCAAAACCCUUAUACGAAGGAACUCUCGUCAUCAUGCUCUUCACUUUCAAAGAGAAUAAAGCAAAGUAAGAAAUCUAAGAAAGAAAUAUCCAAACCUAAAUCAAACCAAACAAACUAUGAGAUAAAUAGACAGCGAAAUCAAUCUCCAAUAUAUUACCUUUUGUCAUAUAUAUAUAUAUAGUAUCACUACGUGCGUCGCACGUAUAUUUUAUCUUAUUUUUACAUACUAUGUAUGCCAUAUAUACUUAUGUAAAUUUUUGGCAUAAUACAAUAACCGUACUCUUUAACUUAGCCUCAACUACCAUCUAUAACCUAUAACUUUCGGUAUACACAAGUCGACACUUAAACUUGUAUAAAGUUUAAAAAGUAGGAACACAUAUUCUUCGUGACAUCUACAUGGAUAUUUCAGCAAAUUGCUACAUAGGAUUUGUAUGCCUACUUGUUCAACUUUAUACAAAUUUAAAUGCAUACUUACGCGGACUUAAAGUUGAAAGGUACAAAUAUCAGUUAAGACCAAAUUAAAACGUUCAUUUAUGCAUUAAAUUUAAUUUUUCUAUACAUACAUAUGAUAGAAAUAUAUCAUAUAGAUAUAAAUUAUUACAACUUUGAAUAUACCAAAAGUCAAGCAUUAUUUCCUAACCUUGAGACCUUUGAUGGAUAUAAUCAAAGACCAACUCUAUAAUGUUUUUUCGGCCAUUAAUUAAUUAAAUUUUGGUAGACCUCUCUUUUAAAUUUGAUUGGUCCAGGCAAUAGAUGAUUUGGAAAAUAAUAUUUUUUAAUUAAUUUUAUCAUCUUUAUAUCCUUCAUCCAUAUAUGUCAAUAUUGCCUUUCAAAUAUAAUUGUCCUUUCAAAUUUUAUUUGCUCUUUUUUAACACACACACAUAUGUGUGUUCAUGUAUGUCUAGUUUUUUUUCUUUCUUAUUUUAAUAUAUGUGGCUUUCACAUAAUUUUUAACUUCAUAUAUAUAUAUAUAUAUACUUCUUCAUUCCUAAUUUCUUGCGCUCUUUUCUAAAAAUAGAUAGUUCAUAAUGCUAUUUGUCAUUUCAAAAUAUUACUCCCUUCAUUCUAAAAUAAUUGAAUUAUUGGAGUAUGACACACUCCAUAAGAAAAAAUAAUUAGGACAUAAAUUGUAGGUUACUUUCCACUAUUAUCCUUUUAACUGUUUUUAAAUUACUAAAUCCUAGAAAAUAUGAAGUACUUAAGAAUCUUAUUAAAUAAAAAGGUAAAAUUGGAAGAAAUUUUCAACAUGUCUCUUGAAAAAUGAAUAAUUUAUUUAUUUUAGACACUGAAAAAUAAUUUAACAAUUUAUUUAUUUUGAAAUGGAGAAAGUAAAACACAAUUGACUACUAUUCUUUCCAUUUUAUCCUUGAGAGUAAUUUGCACUAAAACUUAAAAUUGACCAACGUAGAAAAUUUUAGUGAUUAAUUAACUCAUGCUCUUUAAUUACUUUUUUAAUAUUUUACUCAUUUCAUUGCAAGAUUUUAUGUGCAUUAAUGUUGAUUUAGUGUUCCAAAAAGCACAUUGGUCAUUUACCAAAGAUAUUAACAUACUAUUUAGUGUUCCAAAAAGCACAUUGGUCAUUUACCAAAGAUAUUAACAUACUUUUUAUUAAUUAAAGAGACAAUUAAAUAAGGCACGAUGGUAAAUAAGUGUUCCCUCCGUUUAGUUUUAGUUGGCCCUUAUUGAUUUGUCACAUUCCUUAAGAAAUUAUUUAAUAGAGACUUAUUUUACUAAAAUAACCCUAUUAAUUAUGCACUGAAAAUAUGAAUUUGAGUAAAUACACUUUAUUUAAUCAUUUAAUGUUGAGGGUAAUAUUGAAAGAACAUAAUAAAAUCCUCUUAAUUUCAUCAAAGUGACAACUAAAUUGAAACAAAUAUUUUUAAAAAAAGGGCCAACUAAAACGAAAUGAAAGGAGUACAUUAGAAACGAAGUGGGUAUAUAUUUAUAACUGUCCAGAUCUCUUUGGUCUUAAUUCUUUAUCUAAAGCUUGGAAAUAUGCAAUAGACAAGAAGAUUGGGAUAUUAUAGUCUAUUAUUGUCAAAUUAUUGUGGCUAAAGACGUUUCAUUUUCAAAAUUAUAUGUUGGUUUUAGAAAAAAAUUGUCCAAAUAAUGAUCAUUUGAAAUUUCAGAAUUAUUAAAUUACCAAAAUAUCUAACUUAUAAAUAUAAAAAAUUGAAAAAACUCUAUCGCUUCAUGAAUGGUUUAGUCAAUUGUCACAGUAAAUUAAAAUGUUCCAAAUCCAAGGUUCCAUACUUUACGACCAUUAUCUAUUCAAUGUGAUAUCAUAAUGUAAUUUCUUCUCUUUUGCACCAACUAAUGCAAUUUUGGAUUACCUUACAUAGUUUCUUUACAAGUUUCUAAAGAUUAGAAUAAAAUAUUGAUAGUCAACAAAAUCAAAGUCACUUGACCCAUGAUGUUGUGGAUACACCUAACAACAAAUUAACAAUUUUGUUACAACAUCACACAAAUCAAAUGGAGAGAGUUUCAUGAGAUUCAGUGAAUAUAACUGAUGAUGGAUAAUAAAACAAGUUUUAAAGAAUAGUUUUACCAUAUCGAGCUACAAAAACUUGAAGCACAUCAUCAAGGUGCUUCUUCUAUGUUAGUCUCUUCGAUGCUGAAAGUUGGCUAUAAUAUUUUACUCAUUACUUGACAUUGCCUCCUUAUUGGCCAUAAGAAAUUGAAAUAAUGGCAACUAAAUUAUGUAAAAAUUUAGUGUCCAUUACUUCUCAACCCAUAUUUAGAGAAAAAUAUAAAAACAAGUUACGAUAAAAAGCUAAAUAUGUAUAUAUUUAGGUUACUCCAAGAUGCGAAAACGUAAAAUCAACAAUACAAACCACCUUGAUUGAAGAAGUCUUGCAAUCCGUUGUGCUAUAUUGCAAACGACAGUAGUUGUAAUAGAAAAAUAAUUAGCUGUGUCUGCAUGAGGAUUUUGUAGGGAUAGUCAAUCUAAUUUUCUACAAGUUUAAUCUACUCAUCAUAUUCAUACCUCAUCAAUUUUUAGGAAAAAUUAUUUUCUAGUCGUCUACAAACUUUUUUAUACUUUAUUACAUAAGAUCUUAAUUUUUAUACAUAAGAUAUCUAAAAAGGUCAAUUUUUUCUAUUCAAAUUUUGAAAGAGCAAGAGAUCAUAUUACCUCUAAAAUUUCUUGGCAACUGUUUGCAAAAUAAACGUCUCACGAAUAAAUUUGAAGAUUGUUUUGUCUCUUGAUCAUGCCAUUUUUCGUUAAAUACACAAAAUUACAAUGAGGAGAGUAAUACGUGCAUAAGAAUAAAAACAAUACGGAAAGAUCAAGUAAAUUAGACCCAUUAAACAUUUAUAAAUCAGCCAAGUAAUUGUAAUUAGGAGGGUUUGAACAAAAAAAGAAGUCAUGAAAGUUAGUACCAACCAAAAAAUUUGUAUGUCAUACCACUUUUUCAAUGACAAAAAGAAGAUGUCUUGCUCUUUCGAUUAUGGACUGGUGCAGAGUAGAAGUGUGAAGCGGCAGAGUGUGAUGCAAGAAAGAGCGGACAGGCGCAUAUUACUCUAAAUAGAUUAUGAAAGGUUGGGAAUUCUUUGUAGGGUUGGGUUUUUUAUUUAGAUAAUAAGGAGGGUUAUUUUAUAAUUUAACUUUUCAUUUAUGUUGUAAAGGUUUAACAAUACAAUAUUAUUUAUAACAAAUAUUGCAAAAUUAAUUUGUCCAAGCAUUUGAUUGCAUUGGAAUUAGUUUAAAUACAUGAAAAAUAAAACUUACCAAUUUUGUAAGACAUAUAUAUAUAUAUAUAUAUAUAUAUAUAUUCUAUGCACGUUAAUGGUUUGACAUAUAAGUUUACAAGUAAUUAUUUACACAAGCACCUUUUGGCCUAUGGAUGUGUCAAAUAAUUUAAUAACCUCAAAAGAACACACCCGUUCGGUUUGUAAUGUAGAUACAAGUUUUUUUUUUUAAAAGACGUGGCAAUUAGAUUUUAAAAAAGGAUAUUUUAGUAAUUUCACUCAGCUCAACACUCUUCUGACUAUAAAUAAGAGCAACAACAACAAUGUAAAGCUAAUGAAUCAAUAAAGUUCAAUUUCUCUUUUACAUUUUCCUCCAUUGAACAUGAAUGAUCUAGCUGUUGUGCUAGAAUUUCACAUGGUACCAGAGCCAAGCGCUCAGUACUGAGAAGAUUCAGUUAACUUCUCAUUCUAUUAUAUGCAAAUCUCGAGGAGUUUGUGUGAUCUCUAUUAUCAGCUUCUUCUUCUCGAUUGAAAUCUAAAAUUGUGUAAUCUCUGUUCUCGACUUCUUCUUCUCGGUUGAACUCUAUUGUUGAUUCAGUCUGUUCAGCCAUGGCACCAAAGAUUGAUCAAAGUGAUCCACUUUUUAUUGGUACUUCAGAUAGCUGUAAUGUUGUACUCGUUUCCAUCAGACUCACCGGUUCAGAAAAUUACAACUUGUGGAGUUGUUUAAUAUGCAUUUCACUCUUAGAAAAGAGAAAGUUUGAUUUUUGUCACUAGAUCUACAGCAAGGACUCGUACAGGGAGGAACUUCAUGAGUAAUGGGAGACAUGUAAUCCAAUUGUCUUAUCCUGAAUUAUGAACACAGUCAUUGAGAGCCUGCUAUAUGGCAUUGUUUAUGCUACAAAUGCUUGUGCUGUCUGGAAAGAUCUGAAAGAGAGAUUUGAAAAAGCGAAUCGUAUACGCAUCUAUCAGUUGCACCAUGAAAUCAAUAUGCUAUCUCAAGGUACUGAUUUAAUUUCAGUUUAUUUUACCAAAUUGAAAAGUUUGUGGAGUGAUUAUGAUUUGUUGGUUCCUAAUUCUAGCUGUGAUUGCCCUAAGUCUAAGGAAUAUUUAGAUUAUAUGUCAAUUGAGACGCUUACAGUUUUUGAGUGGCUUAAAUAAGUCCUAUGAUCAAGAUCGAAGACAAAUUUUACUCAAGGGUGUAACUCCUACUAUCUAUCAAGCUUAUGCCAUGCUUGUUGAGGAUGAGAUCCAACAUUCCUCUUGUAUGCUUACAGUACAUGAUAGAUCAGAACCACUAGCCAUGCAGGUGAAUCGAAAUUAUGGUUCUUAUAGUUAUGGGCAAGGAUGUUCCAACUACAAAGGAAGAAAGUGUGAUUAUUGUCACCUCUCAGGUCAUACCAAAGAGUUGUUAUAAACUGAUUGGCUAUCCUACUGAUUGGAAGAAUAAAAAGAAACAAGGGUACAUUACGGCUAAUCCCAGGUCAUAUAGUAGCGGUAACAACUAUUUCUCAUAUGGUAGUGGCAACCACAUAGCUGGUAAGCCUUCUCAAAUACCCAACGUGGUAGCAGGACAAGUUGAUAUUGCCGGUUCAAGUCAUGAUCAGGGACCUGCACCACUGGCAAAGGCUCAUACAAUUACAGAUGAAGAAUACUCUAAAAUUAUGAGCAUGCUGAGCAAGGACACCAAGGAUAUGAAACAAGUCAACAUGACAGGUAUAGCCACUUAUUUUCUGUCCAAAACUUGUUCUGACAAUGGAUUGUGGGAUUAGGGGACACACAUCAUGUGGCUACACACAAACACAUGUUUAGAAAUAGUACAAUCCUAGUAUCAAGUCAAAAGGACAAACUACGCCUUCCUACUGGUGAUGAAGUAAACAUUUAUCAUAUUGGAAAGGCUUAUGUAUUUUCAUGUGGUGUGAUUAAGGAUGUUCUUUUUGUCCUAGACUUCAGACUUAAUCUAUUGUCUGUUGCUAAGAUAACGAAGGAACUCUCUUAUUUUGUUUCCUUCUAUCUUGAUUUUUAUGUAUUUCAGGACCUCUUCAGUGACAAGGUGAAGGGGAUUGUAGACUUUAUAUACUUAGAGAAGAAUGGAAAGAUAACAUUAUGGCACAAAAGACUUGGAUAUCCAGCUUCACAGGUUCUGAGAUCAUUAGAUUUUUUGAAGAGUCAUAAUGAUAUAGAUAUGUUGAAUAAAUGUACAGUAUUCCCACUAGCUAAACAUACAUGAUUAUCAUUCCCUCAUAGUACUUCAAAAUAUUCAACAUAUUUUGAGCUUGUACACAUGGAUCUUUGGGGCUCUUAUAAAAAUGCUACUUUUGAUAAUAAGUACUGUUUUUUGACUAUGUUUGAUGAUUACAGUAGAUACACUUGUAUACAUAUGUUACAACUGAAUUUUGAAGCCAUAGUGGCUAUUAAGACCUUCAUAUCUAUGAUCAAGACACAAUUUGGAGUAUUAAUAAAGAUCAUAAGGUCUGACAAUGGGAUCGAGUUUAUCAAUUCUCAAUGUCAUGCAUUGUUCCAGUCUUUGAGAAUUUUGCAUCAAACUAGCUAUCGCCGCACUCCACAACAAAAUAGAGUUGUGGAGAGGAAGCACAGACAGAUACUAAACAUAGCUAGAGCUCUACAAUUUUAAUCUCAUUUUCCAAUUAAGUAUAGAAGAUUGCGUGUGAAGGCUGUUGUAUACAUUAUGAAUAGGCUACUAUCCUUCAUUUUAAAUGGUAAAAGCCCAUUCCAUCUGUUAUUCUUCAAGGAUCCCAAACUUUCUAGCUAAGGGUGAUUGGAUGUCUAUGUUAUGUCACAGUUGUUCCCAGAGGUGAUAAGUUUUCUGAAAGGGCAAAACGUGUUGUGUUAGUAGGAUAUUCGGAGUCUCAAAAAGGAUACUUACUUCUAGAAUUGCAAUCCAAAAAGUUGAUUGUUAGUAGAGAUGUUGUGUUCUAAGAAGACACAUUCCCAUUUGAUCCAUCACAGAAGGACUUACAGCAAGCAACAACUUCCAAGGCUGGUAAAGAUUUCACUGAGUUGUUAAACUCCACAGAUGAUGAUAUUUCUUAUGACAUUCCUGAUGAGCAUAAUUCCAUUGAAGCUGAUGUUCUUACUAAUACUACUACACCUGAUCUAGAUAUACCUGGCACAAGUAAUAGAGAAGAUAGUCCAGUUGAUCCCCCCUUGACUCAAACAUCUACCUGCAGGCCUACUAGAACUGUUAGACUACCUGUGUGGAUGCAUGACUAUGUUAAUACCUCUAAGAGCCAAAGAUAUAAGUAUCCCUUAGCCAAAAACUUAUUUUACAAAAAAAUGAGCUUUACUUAUCAAUGUUACUUGUCAAAGUUCUCCAAUUUAACUGAACCCCGGCACUUUAAGCAAGCUGUAAAGGAUAACAUAUGGGUGGAAUCUAUGAAGUCAGAAAUCCAGGUAUUGGAGGCUAAUAAUAUAUGGAGUAGUUUUGACUUGACCAAAGGCAAAAACACUGUAGGUUCCAAGUGGAUAUACAAAACAAAAUAUUUUGUAAAUGGGAAGAUAGAAAGGUUUAAAGCAAGGUUAGUGGACAAGAGAUAUAGCCAGUUUGAAGGGCUAGAUUAUCAUGAAACAUACUUACCAGUUUUUAAAAUGGUAAUAGUUAGGUAUGUAAUUGUUGUAGCAGUAUUUAAUGGCUGGACUCUUCAUUAGAUGGAUGUCUAUAAUACAUUCUUACAAGAUAUGGAACUACCUAAAGGUUUCAAAAAAUAUGGUAAGAAUAGAGUUUGCAAGUAACUUAAAUCCAUGUAUGGUCUCAAGCAAGCUUCCAGACAAUGGAAUCUCAAACUCACUAAUCCCUUACUUGAUGUUGGGUUCACACAGAGUGCUCAUGAUUAUUCUCUCUCCACUCUACAUAAAGGUUCUGAUACAGUGAUAGUUUUGGUGUAUGUUGAUGACCAACUCAUUACUGGUAGAAACAGUACUUUGAUUAAUACAACCAAAGGCAAGUUACAUAAGCAGUUCAGAAUGAAGGAUUUGGGUGAUCUCAAGUACUUCUUAGGUAUUGAGAUCCUCAGAUCAGCUUCUAGGGUGAUAUUAAAUCAAAGAAAGUACAUCCUUGAGUUAAUUUUUGAUACAGGUCUUAGUGGUUCUAAGCCUCCCCUCACCCCUUUGGAGUCUAAUCUCAGAUUGAAAACACUUGAAUAUGAUCAUUCCACGGGUUUACAAGGAGAUAAGUUGUUGUCUGAUGUUUUUUCUUAUCAAAGACUGAUAGGUAAGUUCAUGUAUGCUACUAUCACAAGACCUGAUAUCAACUUUGCUGUCCAAACUCUCAUCCAGUUCAUGUAACAUCCUAAGAACUCACAUUGAGAGGCUUCUACUAGAAGUAGUAAGAUACCUCAAAGGUUCAGUUGGUCAAGGCAUUUGGUUAAAAGCUGAUCCUUCUACCACUCUCACUUUUUGGUGUGACUCAGAUUGGGCUGCAUAUCCUAACACUGGAUAUGCUAUUCUUGGUGGAUCAUUAGUCUUUUGGAAGUCCAAGAAACAAUACACUAUGUCCAGAAGUUCUGCUGAAGCUGAAUAUAGAAGCAUGGCUUCAGCAGUUGCAGAGAUAACUUGGCUAGUUGGAUUGCUUUAGGAAAUCAAUAAUACCAUUACUCUGCCCAUUUUAGUGUUUAGUGACAGCCAUUUAGCUAUACAAUUAGCCAAUAAUCCUGUGUUUCAUGUGAGGAAAAAACACAUUGAAAUAGAUUGCCAUUUCAUAAUGGAAAAGAUCAAGAAUGGCUUGAUACAGGCUACUUAUGUUCACAUUCAUGAUCAGGUUGUUGACCUUAUCUUUAAGGGUUUAAGUCAAGUCAAGCUCAACAUGCACACUUAUUAGGCAACCUUAGUAUGCUUAACAUAAUGCACCCUGCAGCUUGAGGGGGAGUGUUUCAACACAUAUAUGUGAUCGCUGCAUCACUACAUCUGUAUAUGUAAAUGUACUGUAUUGAUAUUGAUAAAGUAGUUAGUCAGUUGGUUGUUUGGUGAGUUACAGAGUUAUUUAAAGAAGUUGCAAGGUAAGUUGUUAGGUUGUUAGUCGGUUAUGCUAAGCUGUCAAUAAGCUGGAUAGAAGCUCACUCAGCUCAGUUCUCUUCUGCCUAUAAAUAAGAGCAACAACAACAAUGUAAGCUAAUGAAUCAAUAAAGUUCAGUUUCUCUUUUAUAUUUUCCUCCAUUGAACAUGAAUGAUCUAGCUGUUGUGCUAGAAUUUCACAGAUCUUUUCAAGGUAACACUGUUUUGUGCAGUAUGGUGCAAUCUUCAGUAUGUCUAUGAAUUUGAUGUGUGAUUGAGUGCUUUAGUAUUUUCUUAAACACUAACUGAAAAAAAUGAAGUUUAACGCCCAAUGUUGAAACAUGUGACCAUCUCAUCUAAAAAUUAAACAGCUAAAUGGAACAUAAUUUUGUUUACUUCAUUAUAUUUUUAACGUAAAACCUAUCGAUAAUAAGUGUUAGUGUAACAUCUCAGACCCAUUACUUAUCCUACAAGGGCAAUUUCAUCCUUUCAUUUUUACCUUUACUUCAAGUAAAUAAAACCCUUUUAAUUAUCAAUUUUCAUACCUUCUUUUCCUAUAAAACUUUGUUUUUCCAGCCAAAUAACAUCCCUUUAGUUUCUAUCAAUUAAUAUGCAUUAAAACAAGUCCCUCUAUUUUCCUUUAACUCAUACGAUAAAAAGCCUUACUUUUCCCAUUAGUUUUUAGAAGUUCUCCAUUAGCUAUAUCCCUUUUCCUUUUCUCAAUCACAACUCCUAAGAAACACAAAAGAAUUGGUAAGAAUCAUGUUUGAAUUCCUUCUUUCAAUCUCAAGUUCUUUCAACGUUUAAAGAGGUAUGUAGAACUUUCUCUUGCUCAGGAUUCUGAAUAUUUUUCUGUUUGGUAAUCUUCUUCCCUCCACAUGGUUUGGUGUUAUUAACUUGAUGUGUGGAUUAGGAACUUGGUGUUUGUAUAGAUUAUGAAUUCUCACUAUUUGCUUAGUAAUUCUGAGAAAUUCUGAAAUUUGAGUCUGCCAGUAGAGUCAAAGCUCAUGUUGGACACUCUCUGUAAAACUCAAUUGUUGUAAUUGUUAUAUUUCCAAAGUCCUUAGUAGUCUCAAUCAAAUAACCUUGAUGAUAAUGUGAUACACGAAAUAAAGAUUGAAAGACAUCACAUAGUUGGAAAUGGGGAUUAAAAGAAGUUUAGUCUAGAUCAGCAACUAGUUCUGGAAAAUAGUUACAACUGCCAAUUAGUUAGACAUUUUUUACUGUUCAUGCUCAUUCUCAAUUCUGUUAAAAGUUAGUUACAAAUGUGUUCUUAGUGUAUUCCAUUUUCCUUGAUAUAUAGAGAACAUGCAAAAUGAAGGAUCAUAAUAAGAAAUGUCAGUUUCCCUUUUAAAAUUCUCUCUAUUCUAUUCUCUUCUUUCUCUUCUCUUUUCUUCUCAAUUCAUCAUCUUAAGCUGAAAUCUUAAACACGAUUCCUGAAUCAAACUACAAAUCUUGAGUUAUCAUCUGUAACUUCUACAUUUGUAUAACAUUAGUAUAAGAGCCAGUCGAUUUCUUAGCAACCAUAAUGAAAACAGCAAGAUCCAUUGAUAGUUCUUCAGCUGAAAUGGGAGACAUAAGGGAUAUGCUAUAGAAAUUAAUGGCGGAUAUGGGAACUUUAACAGGGAAAGUUACUAGCUUGAAAAGAUUGGAUCAAGUAGUGAUGGAAUUGAAAGAGAUGUUGGUGCAAUCUAGAAAAAAUAGGAGGGAGAAAUCUCUUUUAGGUACAGAAGGUCCUUCUGGACCUCGACAUUCAGAAGAAAAAGGGCAAGAUAAAAGCCCUGCAAGUUAUAACACUCACAACUCCAAUUUCUCAAGAUGGUCUAGAAUGGAUUAUUUGAGAUUUUUUGGGGAUGCUUUACGAUCCUAGUUUUUCAAAAUUGAACAAUUCUUCUCUAUGGAAAAUGUUUCUAAUGAGGGUAAGGGUUAUAUUACAGCUUUGCAGUUGGAGGGAGAAGUCAUUCAGUGGCAUCUAUCUUGUAUAAGGUAUAGACAAUAUUUGCAACCACCUACAUGAACUGAGUACGUAAUGGCUAUGGUGGAUAAGUUUGGUACUGACUUUGAUGACCCUAUGGAGGAGCUAAAACAGAUCAAACAGGUGGGGAGUGUGAAAAAAUAUCAAGUUGUAUUUGAGAAGCAUUUGACUAGGGUUAAAUUGUCUGAAGAAAAUACUACUAGUUGUUACAUUGGGGUUUUAAAAACUGACAUGAACAUUGUUGUGAAGAUUUCUCAACCUACAUAAAUUUCAUAGGUGUAUAAGAGUGUGAGAAUGCAAGAAACAUAUCUUACUGCCAUCAAACCAUCCAGUGGAUUCCAUAGUCUCAACACAUCUAAGAGGUCAACUGAGCACAGGUUGUAGAGUAAACUAGGACUAUUAAAAACUCCAACUAUUGGUUAUGCAGGGCCAUAAAAAAUUGUUAACAGGAGAACAUUAAGUAUUGAAGAAAUGAAUGACAGGAGAUCUAAAGGUCUUUGUUACUUUUGUGAUGAGAGGUACACUUUUGGUUAUAAAUGCACGACUGUUAAGCAGUUAUACUUGCAAUAGAGGAGCAGGAUGAGGGUGGUGAUGACCAAAUUUUGGAAAUGUUAGACCCUAAAGAAAUUCAAGAAGUGGAGAUGACCAAUACAAUGGAGCAACUGGAAAUUUCUAUUCAUGCUUUAAAUUGUUCCUUAGGAUAUUGGACCAUGAAAGUGACUGGCUAUCACUUUAAAAAGCCUUUACACAUCUUGAUUGAUACUGGUAGCUCACACAACUUUAUUGACCCUGCGCUAGUACAACAAUUGGGGUGCCUCAUCAGAUCAGUUCUUCCUAAAAAAGUUGCAGCAUCAAAUGGAAAUGACAUGCAAGUUGACAAGAUGUGUACUAUAUCUUGGUUAUUACAAGAGCUGAGUUUUUAGUUGAUUUCUUGUUGUUACCACUAGGUUCUUGUGGGGGAUGGUGGUUUAGGGGUUCAGUGGCUUCUCAUGUUGGGGGAUAUUAAGAUGAAUUUCAAGAAACUCACCAUGGAAUUCUACUAUAAAGGGAAGAAGCAUUGUCUCAGAGGUGUAGGAAGUCAAGUCACAGCCUCAGGAGCUGGAAAAAUGGCUAAGUUUUUAGGUAAUCAGUCUCAACUAUACAAAAUCCAAGUAGUUCCUUUUAUGAAUAGUGAUGCACAAUGGUAUGCCAUUGAAACUAAGGAACAACCUAAAACAGAUGCAAGGUUAUUAAGUCUAUUGGUACAGUUUCAAUCUUUGUUUACAGAACUUACUCAGUUACCACCUUCUAGAGGUGUUUUUGAUCAUAGGAUUGUGUUAUACCAUGGUACUGAACCUGUAAACAAGAGACCAUAUAGAUAUCAAUUUGUGAAAAUGGAUAUCAUUAGAGGUUUAAUAUAACAAAUGUUGAAUCAAGGGAUCAUAUAACCUAGUUGUAGUCCUUUUGCUUGUCCGAUUGUUUUAGUUGGGAAGAAGGAUGGUUCUUGGAGGAUGUGUGUGGAUUAUAGAGAUUUAAAUAAACAUACUGUCAAGAACAAAUUUCCAAUUCCAAUUGUUGAAGAAUUGUUAGAUGAGUUAGGAGGGUCCAAGAUCUUUUCUAAGAUUGACCUCAAGUCUGGUUACCAUUAGCUGAGAAUGGCAGAGUAGGAUGUGCCUAAAACAGUUUUUAGGACACACUCAGGUCAUUUUGAAUAUGCCCUUUGGUUUAUCAAAUACACCAGCAACUUUCCAAGGACUUAUGACUUUUGUAUUUCAACCCUUUAUGCGUAAAUUUGUCUUAGUCUUCUUUGAUGAUAUACUUGUAUAUAGCAAGAGCUUGGAAGAUCACUUGUUGCAUCUUACAGUUGUUUUUGAAGUCACGAUGCAACACCAACUAUUUGUUAAAGAAGUAAAUGUUUCUUUGGGGUAUUGAGAAUUGAGUAUCUUGGCUAUUUUAUUACUGAGCAUGGAGCAUCUACUGUUCCUCAAAAGGUGAAUGUUGUGCAAAAUUGGCCUGUUCCUACUGCUCUUAAGCAAUUAAGAGGAUUUUUUGGAUUAGACGGCUAUUAUAGAAAGUUCAUCCAGGGAUUUGGUAUAAUUACUAGACCAUUAACUGACCUCUUAAAGAGGGACAAGUUCAAAUGGUCUAAUGAAGCAGCUACUGCAUUUGAAACUCUUAAGGAAAGACUUACUCAGGCUCCUUUUUUAGCUUUACAUGAAGUUACUAAGCUAUUUAUUAUGGAAACUAAUUCAAGUGGGACUAGUAUUGGUGUUGUUCUCAUGAAAGAGGCCCAUCCUAUUGCUUUUAUUAGCAAAGCUCUUACCCCUAAACAUGCAGCCAUGUUAGUAUAUGAUAGAGAGUUAUUGUCUAUUCUGCAAGCUGUUACCAAAUGGUCACAAUAUCUUUUUGGUCAAAAGUUUGUCAUUAGAACUGAAUAGAAAGCUUUGAAGUUUUUAAUGAAACAAAAUUUGCAUACUAACUCUCAACUCUUGUGGUUGACUAGAAUAAUACCAUUUGACUACACAAUUGAAUAUAGGAGAGAGGUGGAAAACAAAGUGGUUGAUGCUUUAUCAAGGGUGACAAGGGCUGAACUUAUGUCAUUGGUGCUAUAUGCUGCUACUUGUGAUCUUUUCCAGGCCAUAAUUGAUUGUUAGCAGGUUGACCAUGAGACACGAGCAUGGAAAUGGAGAUUAAAAGAAGUUUAGUCCAGAUCAAAAAUUAGUUCUGGAAAAUAGUUAUAACUGCCAAUUAGUUAGACAGUUUUUACUGUUCACUGCUCAUUCUCAAGUCUGUUAAAAGUUAGUUACAAAUGUAUUCUUGGUGUAUUCCAUUUUCUUUGAUAUAUAGAGAACAUGUAAAAGAAGGAUCAUAAAAAGAAAUAUCAGUUUCUCUUCUAAAAUUCUCUCUAUUCUACUCUCUUCUUUCUCUUCUCUCUUCUUCUCAACUCAUCAUCUUGAGCUGAAAUCUCAAACCCGGUUCUUCGAUCACCCUAAAAAUCUCGAGUUAUCCUCUAUAACUCCUACAUUUGUGUAACUUAAUGAAUAUUGUCUUAUAUUGGGUUUUCUAUCUGAAGUAUGUGUAAUUUAGUUAAGGCUACCGAACUUAUAGCUAAUGAUUUAAAUUUCUCUGUUUCUAUUUGAUGUCUUAAACAACUGGUGAUAUGUUGCUUGGCUGAUGCUCUACAGUAAACUGUGCUGGCUCGUUAUUCAUGUUUGUGAUAUACAUCUAUUGGUUAUAGUGGUUCAAUUAGAAUUAACAUCUGCGAGCAUGAUUCGCUCUCUGUAAAUGUGUUUUAGUUGUAAAUUGCUACCUUCACCGUAACUUAUAAACAUAGUUCCCUCAAGAGAUAUGGAAGUCAUGUUCUUAGUUGUAGUAAGUCUUUCAUUAAGGUCCUCCAACACUUGUUUUUGGCUCUGCAGAUAAUCUACUUGAGUCAACUAACUGUUUUCCAUUGGCUUCAAUAGUUGUUGUACUUCUGUGAGUUGUUUAAGAUAUGAUAUGGAAGGUAACUCGCUCAGUUCUUCCAUUCCAGCAGGACAAAUUAAAGUGAAACCCUUAAUAGAAUGUUUCUUAACUCUUCCAAAAAGCCAUAAAAUGGUACCAAAUGAAAAUCUUAUGAAAUCAGAGUAAUUAAAUUCCCAACAUAAGCCCAAAAGGCUAAAUUAUGACAUGAGCCUAAAAAGGCUAAAAGCAUAAUCCUAAUAUGACUAACACUUUUAACAUAAAUAAAUAAGAUAACGUCAUGAGCAUAAGAGAGUUAGUUAGCCAAUCGUGAAGACAUAGGUUUAAACGACAAAUGUCCGAAACUAUAUUUGCUGAUAUAGGAUAGAGAUUACUCUGCAAGUCGGAUGACCUUUUUUUUUCAUGUUUUCCGAAAAAAGGGCUAACCAUGGAUACUUGCUAGCAAAUUAUGUCAUGUCACGUCCUGUGCUCGGCAAAAUAUAUAAUGGCUUAGCUGAUCGGGCCGAAAUCAGACUCCAUGAGCUCACAUGGUGGUUUAUGACGGUUCACUACUUUCUCCCACAAAUAAUCAAAGAAAUUUAAUCUGCCUUUCUUGGUAAAUUAUAAAUUUAGUUUAUAUUCUUGUUCUUUUCUAGUUUUCUUCACUUACAUUUGAGUUUUAUUGUCAUUUCUAACCUCUUGCCGUACUACCUUUCUGAAAUGGUUUGCAUACCAAUACAUUCUACGUAUUACAUUUGAGUUUUAUUAUCAUUUCUAACUUCUUGCUAUACUACCCUUCUGAAAUGGUUUUACUUACUAAUACAUUCUAUGUAUUGAUCGUCUUUGAUGCUACAUCGUUACAUGAUGUAGAUUCUGGCUCUCAAGUCAGGUGCCUCAUUAGGAUCUCUAUCUUCUGUCAUUGGUGAGCCUCUUACCUAGCAGGAGGAUGGACGAGAUGUGAUGACUUCUUUACAUUUUCUUUCCUUUCAGUAUUGGUACCUAUUAGAGGCUUAACAAGUUGGUAUAGUUGUCAAACAAACUUUGUAAUUUUCAGUCAUUAUUUAUUGUAACUAUUAGUAUUGUCAGAUAUCAUGCGGUGUUAAUAAACUUUGAUGAAGUUUUAUCCCUUGAGAAAUUCAAAUAUAAAUCUUAUAUUAUCUGCUUUAUUCAUUUGUAUUAGAAGUAUGCUGGGGUGAUAUGCCAGAACAUUCGCUCAUACUAGCGAUAGUAUCGGGUGCAAUGCCACGUCCUGGACCCGAUUCGGGUCGUUACAGUUGGUCAUCAAUCGUACUUUCUGCUAGGUUGAUUUUUGAUUUUGAAGAGUAACGUGCAGUUGCUUUUACUGCUAAUUAUCUAGAUAGCUGAAGUUAUAUCCACAGCUCACAAUAAUUUUCCACUGUUCUAGUCCUCAUAACAACAAAGAAAACAGUGAAUGCUAAAACCUGUUUGCAUAAAGCUAUAAUUGUUAGGAAUACUCCAAUUAGCUAUUCUGAAAUGUCUGCACUUGCAAUAAAGUAGUUUCUCAACCUCUCUUGCUCCAUACAUGUAAAGUUAUUCAAUUCGACAUUCUUUAACUUACGCCUCAAGCAUUUCCCAGGUAGAGCUGCAGAACAAGGCUGCUCAACUUUAUCUGAUGCAUCUUCAUAUAUGAACUGUCAAACAAAGGAAAAUCAGACAUCAUUAACUAUAAAGUAUGAACAACAGGAAGAAAGGUAAAAAAGACGCGUCAUACAGAAUCAAUCAUGAAAGCAGUAUUAGAAAGGUUAACAUUCUAGUAAGGAUUAUCUGAACGAAGGGAUCACCUCAGUGAGUACAAUAAAUGGGUUCUUGUUAAUGAACAAAAUACUAAAGGAACCAGCAGCACCAGGUGAAGCUAAGGUUCACAAAUCACUGGAAUAGCCAGUGGGUGACAAAUAAAAGGGGGUGACUUUUGUGUUUCCCUUUUCCCUUCUUAUACACACAUAGGACUAUCAAUUGAAGUAAUAGUUGGAAACUUAUUUUUCCUCAAAACUAUAAGCAAGUUACCCAGUCAAAUAGCAAAACAGAGUUUUUGCUGCAAUUUGUACAUGUAUGGCUGGAAACAGAUUAAACCACCCUGUCCCUAGGCGGGACAAAAGGAGGAAACAGUCACGCUUCAUGCAAUCAGGUAAGACCAAAACAAUGUUCAGACUGAGCAAAUAAGAGGAGCAAAUGACGAGCAUAAUGAAUUUUUAAGGCUUGAAUUCCUUGGUUUUACACUAUUCUUGUUGAAGUUGAUCAACUACAUAUAACUUCCACUUUAUCCAAUGGCAAUAAUUUGUUUAGUAAUCUCAAAUCAGCAAGAGAAGCAAAAGCCAUUAACCAGUCAAUAAACAAUGUAUCUAAAUACGCUAAAUACCUAGGUAACCCCUUAAACUUGUCAAAAUUUGUAUGUCAGAUAUCUAAGUAUGGAUAGAUAGACAUUUUAACUUGACAUCUACGUGUCACUUGAACACAGAGGCGGACCCAUGUGGCACCGUGAGGGUGCACGUGCAUUCGGUAACUUCGUACAAAAUUACCGGUUCGAGACUCAAAGUUGAGCAUCCUUCGGAACUCGACAUCGCGGGUUCGAUUCCCAAAGCCCAAACAAUAUUGCCUUAUUGGUGUAUUCCCCCCAAAUCCCUAAAAUUUCCCUUUUUCCAAACCAAAAGUCCCUUCAAACAAAUUUUUCUUUCUUCCAAGUUCAUCCUUACAUUACCUUUAUUCAUCAUAAUUUUGUGGCUAUUGACGAUAACCUAUCAUAAAUUCUUUACUAUUAAUUACUUUUUUCCUUACUCAUGAAUCGUCUAUUUUGUUUCUGCAUCACUAGAUAAAAAUUAGAUGCUCAUGGAUAUUAACAUGCUUUUUAAUUGAAAUGGUAAUAGAUAAAAUAAGAUUUUUUUUUUUAUUUCUCAAUUUAAAGUAUUAAUAUUUUUUCAAAAUUCUAAUUGCAACCUAUGGAAGGAGAAGUGUGGAAAAUUUCAGAAAUGACAACUAUAGAGUAUUAAUUGUAACUUUUUUAGCAACAGUUUCAUAAUUACGAAAAAUAACAAAUUGUAUUUUGUAUUUAAGUAAAUUAUUGUUAUUCAAAUACAUGUACAACAAGAUUUACUGCUCUUGUUUUACUCAAAUUAGUUGAGUUAAAUAAGAAAUAAUUAUCGCAUCUAAUUAUAUUUCCAUAAAUUACUCUUAUUUAAAUUAGUAGAUUCCUUUUCCAAAUCAAACUCAAAUAUGAAGAUUAUUAUUUUCAUGAUUUUCAAAAUAUCAUUCUCUUAUAUCUCUAACUAUUUUUUCUUGUUAGUUUUUUUUUUUAAUUUUUAAUUUUAAUUUUCUUUUCUUUUUCAUUUUUUUUCUUUCCACUUUAUUUUCUCUCUUCUACUUCUCUUUUUUUUUUCUUUUUUCAUUUUUAAUUUAUUUUUUUCUUUUUUUUGUUUUCCUUUUUAUUUUCCUCAAAAAAAAUUCAUUUUCUUAUUUUUUUAAAUUUUUUUUCACUUUUAUUUUUACACUUCUAUUUUUAGUUUCUAUUUCUCUUACUUCUUUUUUUUUAUUUUCCACUUCUUCUUUUUCAAAUUUUUAUUUUUCGUUUUUGUUUUUUUCUAUUUUUUUUCCUUUUUUUAUUCUUUAAUCUCUAUCUUUAUUUUUAAAAGGCAAAUAUCUAUAUCAUAUAUACAUAUUCAAACAAUAUACAAAAUAAAUAAACAUACUGAAUUGCAUAUGUAUAUACGGUAAAAAUCAUACAUAUAUAUCUGCAUAUGUAUUUACAGAAAUACAUAUCUGACUCAUGUAUAUAUAAACAUAUAGGACACAAAAUCUCUAUAACAAAAAUGACAAUUUAUACAUAUACAUAUAGGUAAUAAAAAAAUACAUGAUACAUAUUUUAAAUAGUAAAAGAAAACAAAUAAGUACAUAUGUUACCCUCUAAAAUGACAUAGUAUGUACAGUUCAAAGACAAAUCCAACACCGUAUAAAAUAUAUAUAGCUCUGCAGAUGUAUUUACAGAAUACAUAUCUGAUCCAUAUGUAUAUUCUUAUUUUAUAUGAGUCACCUUUGUAUUUCGCAAAUACAUAUGAAGAUAUAUAGUAUAGUUAUGUUUGUUACUAUUUAAUAUGAAUAUGAUAUGUAUUUCGUAAAUACAUAUGUAUAUUUUGUACUGUAAAUACAUAUCCAGAUCUGUAUGACUAUGUAUUUUGUAUGUUUUUUGAAUAUGUGUAUGUAAUAUACAUAUUUGUAUUUUCAAAAUAAAAGUUAGAGAUAGAAGAGUAAAAAAUGAAAAAAACAAAAAUAUAAAAAGAAAAAAAAAGUGAAAAAGAAAAAAAAAAGGGAAGAAAUAGAAAUAGAAGUGUAAAAAUAAAAGAAAAAAUAAACAAAAUAAAAUUGAAAAAGAAGAAGAAAACGAAAAUAGAAAAAGAAAAAAAAAAGAUAUGAGCAAGGAAGAAAAAAAUGAAAAAAAAAAAAAGAGAAGUAGAAGAGAGGAAAUAAAGUGGAAAGAAAAAAUGAAAAAGAAAAAGAAAUCAAAAUAAAAAAAUAAAAUGAUAAAAAAUAAGAUGAAAAAAAACGAACAAGAAAAAAAGGAAGAGAUAUAAGAGAGUGAAAGACAGUAAUGAUGUUUUAUUUUGAAAUCUUGAAGAUCAUGGAGAUAAUUAUCUUCCUAUAUGAAAAAGAAAAAAAAGAAAACAAAAAAUAAAAAAAAUGAAAAAGGUAAAAAAAGAAGAGAAAUAGAAGAGAGAAAAUAAAGUGAAAAUAAAAAAUGAAAUGACAAAAAAAUAAGAUGAAAUAAAGGGGUAUAAGAUAUGGUUAUAUUUGGGGGAGGUGAAAUAGUGGAAUGAAAAUAGGAAAAUAUAAAGUAGUGAGAGUAAAACAUGCGCUUGUCUAGUUAAUGAGUAAAAUAAUGUUACUCUAGCUAUAAACUGUAAUUUUACAAAAGUAUUGUUAUUUAUUAUUAUUAUUAUAGUCUUAAAUAUGCUACUUUCUGUAAUUUUUUCAUUUCCCUAUUAGUAAUGUUAUGUUUACUUAUAUUUUUUAUGAAAUUUUUAUUUUGUAGGAAUUUGUUAUUGAUUCUUGUGAAUUGAAAUUGGUAGAUAUUAUUCUCCUCAAUCAAGUUCUAAUUUUAAAGACAAUUCUCUCUGUCUUGUAAAGAAUUUGAUAUGAAUUCACUUAAAUUUGAUCCCAAAGAAAGAAAAUCAAUUCAUGAAUAUGACUCUGCGAUACGAGAUCAAGUGAGAAGACACUAUAUUCAACAAGGGCCUUGUCAACCGGAUCUAGGUUUUAAGUGAUUGCUUAGUUUGCUAUAUUGAGAAAGAAGCAUAUAUUUGUAGAUAUAAACAACGAUGCAAUCAUUGAUCGUUUUUAGAAUAUGAAAAUGUAUCGAUGUCUAAUAUGAAAGGAUGGUCUACUUUUGUUAUAUUAGCACUAAAUUAAUGAUAUUUGAUCAUUUUGAAAUUUAUACUUUGCUAAUAAUUUUUUAUAAAUUUUAAAUUUAAAAGAAUUGUAUGUCAAAUUAGGUAGUUGAUAAUUGACAUGACUUAAUUAAAGAUAAUGGUGCACUCGCUAUCUGCUUGAACACAAGAAUAUGAGAAAAUCAUUUGUGUGCGUGAGAGUAUAUAAAAUUAGCUGGCAUGUUAAAUAGGCCCUUUUUACACUUAUAUCUCAUUUGUAUCAUUGUUUUUGUUCUAUAUAUGAAAAAAGGUCCUAAAGAAUCGGUCUUCUAGAAAAAUGACCACUCCGGCUAAUGAUAGAAAUUUUUGCAGUUGCCGUUAAGCUGCUCUACAUGUGUCCUCCUUAUUCACUGGUCGUAAUGCUAUCACCAUUUUCGAUGGCUUCAUCUAUAUUCCUCCAUUUCUUCCCAGAAAAAGACUAAACACAACAAAAUAACAUUGAGUUUCAAGGUCAAAAUACUCAAAACAACACAAAAAGCUACUUCAGAUUCAGAGAGGCAUAUGAAGAGAAAUAAAAAGCAUCAACUAUCAAUCUGAAAAGAGAACAACCAGAUCAAAAACAAUUAUGAAAAACGAGUUGCACGCUGAUAUCUGGCUGAUUUUGUAAUUGAAUAGCAUAGGAAAGAUGCUCUGUCGGAGAUGUAGGUAUUUAAAGGUAGGUCUAAAUUCAUUGUUUAAUGCUUCUACAGUUUUCCUCGUUAUUUAGAUAAAGGAAAUAGAGAUAUGGCACCAAUCAGUGGAAUAGGUACAAUUAUAUGGAAAAGGAUAUUGAAGAAAAAGAGGAAAUAUAAUGAGCAAAUAGAUAGUAUUGAAAAAAGAAUUGCAGGUCGUCAUCAACGAAUAGGUUGGGAUUGAAGAAAAGUGGAAUUUGUUUAAGGAUCUAUCUAGGUAGUUAGACUUCCAAUUGUACUUCCAAUUGUUUUGGGGCAACAAUAUUCAUAUGAAGUUCGUACCUUUUGGCCUUUUUCGCUUCCUUCAGUCCAAGCAAACGCUAAACUUCUUAUUAAAGCAGAGGAACUUUAUUAAAUUAGGAGUGUCCAAGUCAACAGUAAUCAAUUUGUGAAAAUGAUAUAUGCUCAGUUGUUUGAGGCUGUCACUUGCAAUCUUCAUACUCUUCAAGGUCUUGCAACAAAUUAAAUCAAACUUCUCAAGAUUUUGUAGGCUGUAAAAUAGUUACUCUAACCAAUUGUUGUUGACAUCCACACCCCUGAUAAACAAAAUCUUGAGGGCUUUGCAAGCAGUUAUUCUAACAACAUUUAUAUUCCCAUAGCUGUUGUCGAUCUCAAGGUUGUCGAUCGUAAGCUCUUCGAGAUUAAUUGCUGCAAUAUCAACCAAUUGGAGUACUGAAAGGGGCAAGCUGACCAAGUAAAUCUAUUUUAGUUUAGGUAAAGUCUCACCAACUUGAAAGCUGGUGAGUUCGUUGAAAUAGCCUCAAUAAAUUCCUCAUCCAAAAACACAAAAGAGAGGGUGCAAUUCUCGCAAAGAUGAUAAAUUUAUCAUACCAUCAUCAGCGGGAGCACAUUUAGUGAUUUGGCAGCAAAGAUUGCCAGGGGCAAGCUGCCGUAUACGAAGCUGCCUUGAUAAUCAUGUGUUUCUACUCUUAGAUUCAACUCUUUGAUAUUACAAGCUAUGAGUAUCUUAAUCCAGUUUCUGACACAACAAAGACCACCAUAAUGGCCUAAGCACAAGCACAGAGAGAACUUUUGAAUGGAAAUCUUGUUCUUUUUCCUAUUUGCUAGAGCUUGAUCUAGAACAACAUUCAGAUCUUUUGACCAGUCUAAAAUAUCACCAAAAUUUAAGUAGGGGAGUGACUUCCAAGCACUAUCCCAAACCUUAGACAAUGUACUCAUUCGUGCCACAUCUUUAGCAUGUAAGAAAGACAGGAUGUGCUGCAAUAUUGGCUCUGGCAAUUUCGAAAUUCUAUCAUCAGAUGUUGCAUCACUAUUCCCUUCCAUCGCCCUCAAAUUUGUUCUCUGGCGUUUGAAAACCCUAACUCUAAGGGUGUAAAAGUAUUUAUAAGAGUUUCUAUCAAAAAUUAUUAUAUUAUUUCUUUUAUUUCAAUUUAUCAUUUUCACAAAUAAAGAAAGAAUUAAAAUUUAAAUUCAAAUAUUAGAAUCUUUAAAUAUAAAAUAAAAUAAAAUUUUAUUUAUAUUUAUAUUAUAAAAUAAAGGAAAGAGUUCAUAUGGGAUGAGGAGUUUGAGUUAAAUUCAGCUAUCAUCUAUCAAAGUUAUAUAAUGGGUCUAUAAUUAGAAAUAGGAUAAUUAUGCCUACUCUUCCAAGUUAUGCCUCCAGGAUUACUCUGUAUGUUUUGCAUAGUAUGAGGCACUUUUCAGUAUGCCAGGUGAAUUUGAUGCGCGAUUGCGUGCUUAAGUAUUUGUUAAACACUAAUUGAAGAAAUGAAGUUUGACAUUCAUUCAACGUUGAAAUGUGUGGUCAUCUUAUCUAAAAAAAGCUUAGACAGUUAAAGAGAGCGCAGUUUUAUUUACUUAAUUGUAUUCUCAAUAUGCAUGGCAGCAUGUCAAGAAUAAGCGUUUAGCCAUCCGACUUUCUUUCUGCAAGGUUAAAUUUUUAUUUUGAGGAGUGAUGUGCAGUUGCAUUUACUGCUAUAAUUAUCUAGAUCGUUGAAGCUCCAAAGCAAAAUACUUGUUUUCUCUUCAGACCAACUAUGCCUUAUGAGUUAUGUCUAACUUAAUGUUUAAGUCUACGGCUCACAAUAAUUUUCUAUUGUUCUAGUCCUUAAAACAACUGAAAAACGAAAUUGGCAUAAAGCUAUAAUCGUUAGGUUCUUCUGUAGAAAUUUGUUGUCUUGGUUUGAGUUAUGGAGAAAAGAGUCGGAAGAAAAAUAUCAAAAAGACUCGUUUACUUAGCAAGACCAGAUUAUCGUUAUCACCACAGAAUGAGUACAUUAGAUGCAUUGAGUCAAGCUGAGGAUAGAUUAGUGAUUGUUGAGUUCUAUGGCACAUCGUGUGCCUCAUAUCGAGCAUUGUUCCCUAAGGUGAGUAAUCUCAUUAUGUACGAUUUUCUGAGUAAUGGUCGAUUUCUAUUUUAACCGCACAAAUUGCUGUCGCAAACAUAGUUAGAAUAUACAAGAGUCGAUCCUCACUUUUGUGGCAAAUUUGCAAUUAGAAGUGGAUGUGUCCAAAAUAUCUCGAGACCUAUUGGUCUCAUGGGGACUAACUUUAUCUUGCUCUAAGACUCUCCUUCUGCCAAAAGCAUUAUAUUCCACUUAAAGCUUGUGUAAUUUAACAGAUAGCUCUUUCCAGUACAAGGCUAUUUAUUGCAAAAUUAUUCUACAUUUCCCAGGUAGAGAUGCACAACAAGGCUUUUCAACUUCACCUGAUGCAUCUGAAUAUAUAAACUGUCAAGCAGAGAAAAAUAAUUCAGUAUGGACUAUAUAAACAACAGGAACAACGGUAAAAUGUUAAACGUUAUAAAGAAUCAAUCAUGAAUGCAGUAUUAGAAAGGUUUAGAACUCUAUGGGUGUUAUCCUAUUGCCGCUCGGAAUCAAAACAUUAUCUGAAUGGAGGAAUCAUCUAAGUGAGUACAAUAAACGGGUGCUUUCUAAUGGUCAAAGAAUAAAAUGCACAACUAAAGGAAGCAGAAGCACCAGAUGAACCAAAGGCUCACAAUACACGGGAAUAGCCAGUGGAAGACAAUAGCUAGCAGUGUUAGUAGGAAAGUUCUUUUUACUCAAAACUAUAAGUCGCGCAGUCAAAUCGCAAAACACUCCGCAGACCUAGGCAGGAAAGGAGGAAACAGUCACGCUUCAUCCAAUCAGGUUAGAUCGACUCCAUGUAUCUUCUGGUUUAUUCAAUAGCAAUAAUUUGUCUAAUAAUCAACGAGUAGCAAAAAUCGUCAACCAGUCAAUAAACAACGUUUCCUAAUAUUUUGGGGCAACAACAUUUAUAUGAACAAGUUUUAAUGUGCUAAUACCAAUAAUAUUGAAUGGCAUGCAAGGAGCCUUUUUUUAAUUAACAUAAGUUUGUCCUUUUUCUCUUCUUCAACCCAAGCUUACUUUAAACUUCUCUUUAAAGCAGUGGAACUUUAUUAAAUUAGGAGUGUCCAAUUAAGCAGAAAUCAAAUUGUGACAAUCAACUACUCUCAGUUGUUUGAGCCUGUCACUUGCGAUCUUCAUAGUCUUCAGGUUCUUGCAACGAAUUAACUCGAACUUUACAAGAUUUUGUAGGCUGUAAAAUAGUUCCUCUAACCAAUUACUGGUGACAUCCACACCACGGAGGUACAAACUCUUGAGGGCUUUGCAAGCAGUUAUUCUAACAACAUUUGUACUCCCAUAAAGGUUGUUGAUCCAGAGGUCUUCGAGAUUAAUUGCAGCAAUAUCAACCAAUUGGAGUACCGAAUGGGGAGGUUCCAAGGUAACCAAGUCAAUCUUUUUCAGCUUAGGUAAAGUAUCACCAACUUGAAAGCUGGUGAGUCCGUUGAAAUACUGCAAAGACAGAUGCUCUAAAUUACAGCAGCUUGUGCACAUAGCCUUAAUAAAUUGCUCAUCCAAAAACACGAAAGAGAGGUGCAAUUCUUGCAAAGAUGAUAAAUUUAUCGUACCAUCGUAAGCGGGCAAUUCAAUAUUAAAUCCAAACAAAUUCAGCACAUUUAGUGAUUUGGCAGCAAGGAUUGCCUCUGGCAAGCUGCCGUAUACGAAGUUUCCUUGAUAAUCAUGUCUUUCUACUCUUAGAUUCAACUCUUUGAUAUUACAAGCUAUGCGUAUCUUAAUCCAGUUGCCGACAUUACAAAGACCAGCAUAAUGGCGUAAGCACAGAGAGAACUUUUGCAUGGAACUCUUGUGCUUUUUCCUAUUUGCUAGAGUUUGAUCUAUAACAACAUUCAGAUUUAUUGACCAGUCGAAAAUAUCACCAAAAUCUAAGUAGGGGAGUGAAUUCCAAGCACUAUCCCAAACCUUGGACAAUGUACUCAUUCGUGCCGCAUAUUUAGCAUGUAGGAAAGACAGUAUGUGAUGCAAAAUUGGCUCUGGCAAUUUCGAAAUUCGAUCAUCACAUACUGCAUCAUUAUUCCCAUCCAUUGGCCCCAAAUUUGUUCUCUGAAGUUUGAAAAUCCUAACUCUAAGGGUGUAAGAAUAUUUAUAAGAGUGUCUGUCAUUCUCUAAUCCUAAAGCUAACCAACUUAUGGAAGGAGUCUACACAAAAAUGGUUAUAUUAUUUCUUUUAUUUCGAUUUAUCAUUUAUACAAAUAAAAAAAGAACUAAAAUUUAAAUUCGACUAUUAGAAUCUCUAAAUAUAAAAUAAAAUAAAAUUUUAUUUAUAUUAUAUAUCGUAACAUAAAGUAAAGAAAAGAGUUCUUACGGGAUGAGGAGUUUGAGUUAUAAAUUCAGCUAUCAUCCAUCAAAGUUAUAUAAUUAGCACUAGGAUAAAUAGUGAUGACUUUGUUUCAAUAUUGAUGAUGGAGUGGAGAAGUAAUAGAUGAAAUUUCCGAAUCUAUAUCUAUCUAUAUCUAUUCUAUAUUUUAUAUUCUAUAUUCUAUAUUUUAUAUUUAUAUUUAUCUAUAUCUAAUAGCAGAGGUAAAAAGCUCCAAGUGUCACUACCACAUAAUUCUAAUUUUAAAAAAUAAAUUAUAAAUCCAAUUAAAUGCCUUACGGUAUAAACACAAAAGAGAUCUGUUUUUAAUUUUCUCCGGAAACUACCCACUUCCCCAAUUUUCAACUGCACUUCCACAUUCUCUAGGCAACAUAUAUCUGCGAAUUGAAAUUUCAAUCCCUUAUCCAUUAAUUUAUAUUAAAGGCAAUUAAGAAGGAAAAUCAGACAUCAACGUAUUGGUUUCUUUACAUCAAAUAUCUCAAUGUAAGUUUUUGUUUCAAUUUUGUCUCCCUUAUUCAAUUUUCUUAUCAUUCUCAUUGGUUGCUGAAAAAGUGUUGUUGAUAAAUUUAUAUGAUAAAAAGGAAAUAACUACCAGUACUAUGCAAGGAAGUAGAAACAAGGAAGUCCAUUUUAAUGGGUAACUUUUAUUUCGUCAUUUAUUAGUUUUUGGGUUCAAGAAUGUUUGUGAUUUUUAUUUUGUCAUUUAUUAGUUUUUGGGUUCAAGAAAGUUUGUGAUCUCAAUCAAAUUUGUGAUUAGAAACAAGGAAUUCCAUUUUAAUGGGUAAUUUUUAUUUCUUCAUUUAUUAGUUUUUGGGUUCGAGAAAGUUUAUGAUCUCAAUCAAAUUUGUGAUUAUUUUCAUAUAAAGGAUGAUAAACCUUUUAACUCAACAAAUUGUGGGAAUUUCAGUUAUCCUUCUUAGAUCCAUCAGUUUCUUCCCUGCAUAUUACAGAGAAGUUCAAAAUUAAAUCUAUAACUGCUUCACGUUCAUUUUGUUUUCUUCACCAAUAAUCUUCAGUUUCUUUUUUCAAUCACAGAACUAUCACUCGGUGAUCCAAUUCUAAUUCAGUGGAUGGGUUUUUGCAUACCAUUAGUAACUAUUAGGAUAAAUUAGUCCAAUGCAUAUCUGUAAGCAUGAUACUUUGAUGAGAAAGCACGAGGAUCUUCAAAAGUUUCAUCUUAUAUAUUGAUGAAUAACACACGCUACACACAGCUGCUAUAAAUAUAUUGUUCUACAUACUGCAUCUGUAAGUCUGAUAUACGUGAAAUGUCUAGAGCACACAAGUGUCAUGGUUAAAUGCUACAAAUAUAGAAGACAAUGAAAGGAUCUGAGAAGAGCACACAAGUCUCAUGGUUAAAUGCUACAAAUAUAGAAGACAAUGAAAAGAUCUGAGAACCACCAGAUCUCCAUUCAUAAGCCUCUCAAGCUUCGCCUAAUCAAAUUGGCAAAAAACCAUUUCAAAUUGCAUAAAUGAUUGACUAUUGGAAAUGUGUUUGAUUGUAGACUUAAGAUUUUGCUCAAGUUCUUUACUCUACUGUCCAGGUACCAGUCGAUGCAUUGAGUACCCCGUUCUUCAAGAGUUACAAAUUUUGAUCGGAAGGUUCAUUUCUUCCUCAUCAACUUUUAUCAUACUUGCUUUAAACAUUUCUCUGUAGUUCCUUUUGCGGUCUUAUAUAUAAAGCUGAAAAUCAUGCUAUAUAUAACACCAUAAUCCAUUAGAUAACAACAUCAAGCCUUUAUAUAAUCUUUUAUAAAGCAUGACGCAUUAUAAAUUUAGGUAUCUCAAUUUCAUAUUAAAUUUUUGCUUGAGAUAAUUCACUAACUUGGUUCCUUUUACAUGCCUGAAUAUCGGAUAAAAUAGUUGCAGGACAAACAUAGAGAAGAUGCUUUUCAUGAAUUUUGAAAUUGGUUGUUAUGUUGGGUUUCACUAUGAAUUUUCUUUAUAUGAUAAGAUCAAUUUUGAGUUUUGGUGAUAAAAGAGCCUAAAAGUCACCUAGGUUUAUCAUGUAACGUCACAAAUCUAUCAACUUGAAGAUGUCUUUCGUCUAUUUGGUAGAAGUAUUCAUUUUCAGGUUUGUACUUUUUCAUAGUCCAAUUUUCAUUGUAAUCUAUGCAAAAUGCUGGAAUUUUAAGUACCCAAUAUGUUUGUGUGUACAAUGUAUUAGAUGCAACCUUCAAACUUCUGUCUCUCUGUCUAUAUCAAUGUGAGUUACUUUUCUUUCACUUUCAUCUGGAUAAGGGAGAAUCAAACAAAAGAUUUAUCAAACACACCCCAAGACUGAGUAAUACAGAGCUAUGAAAGUUUUUAUUAUGUUUCAUUCUUGAAUUUCUGUUUCUUUCUCAUUCACGAAAAUGAGAGCUCACAUUCAUCUUCUGGUUUGUUUGAAUUGCUAUUGGUUUGAAAUUCGAUCAUAUAUUCCAUGAUUGUCGGCUUGAGGUGAACUUAUAGCUUGACUUUUUAACCGUAUAUAAUUUGACAGAAAAUAGUUAAAGCCUUCGAUGGCAUAGUAGACUGCAUAUUAAAGUCAAAAUAUGGGGAAACUACAAUUAGGAAAGGUCACUACACUAGGUACAUGCGAAAGCAAUACUAUUGUAAACCCUGUUUGAGAGAUGAAAUACAUGUGUUUUCUAACAAAAGACAAAAUCUGAGGAAAGAUGCCAAUUUAUGAAAAAUUUUAUUGCAUAUGAAUCAGGUAUUGGAAAAUAGCAGGAAGUUCAAAGGCUGUAAACAAGGUGUGAUGGUUAUGGUGCUCUAUGCCCCGAUCCCAAAUUUGUCGGUGGUGAAGAUGUGAUGUUCUACUUCCAUGGAGCAAAGAAAACUGAAUUUCCUAUUAUCUCAGCUGACAACCUCCAUAUUAGUGCAAAAUUAACUGGUACACAACCACAAGAAAGGAAGUUUGACUUUACAUGGGUUCAAACAUUGUCAGAUAUGUUUGACACCCAUACGUUAAUAGUAGGACCAAAGGAAGUGUCAAAAUGGGAUUAAAAUGUUGAUGCUCUUACUGUACAGUCACAGUGGAAUGGUGAGACACUUGAUGUCCCGAUAGAUGGAGAUACAAAAUAGAGCGUUAAUACUACUGAGAGAUCAAUGGUGGUCGAGGGAAUUGAUGAUCUUAAUAGCAUGAGGUUCAUAGUUUCUAGACUAAUGUAAUUGGAUGUAAAAGUAGUCCCCAUUGGAGAGAAGGAAAGCAAAGAUUCACAGCUAUCAGUUACCAAGAGAUGUUGUUUUUGCUCAUCUGGAGACACAAUUGAAGUUUUCGAAUAUAUAUAAAGAUGAUGUCGAAGGAAUUUUUGGCUAGACUUACCAGUUGAGCUAUGUUAGUCCAGUCAAGAGAGGGGUGGUAAUGCCAAUCAUGGGCGGGGAAGACAAAUAUCAAACACCAUCACUUCAUUCAUAACCCUACAAAAUGCAGGUUGCUUCAUCUUGAUGAUACAAAGAUAUUAACCAAUAAGGGCACGUUUAGUAGUGUAUAAGAAUACUAGUGAAUUUUUUUAUUGGUCGUUUAGUAGAGUGUAUAGGAAUAAUAGUGAAUUUUUUAUUAACAACCCCUUUGUUGUUUGUUAAAUAAAAUAUUGCUAUAAAUCUAAUUGUAUUUUGAUAUGUGAAUAAAGGAUGCAAAAAACACGCAUAAGUUUCUGGUGAGCAAAGACAAAAGUGAUGAAACUAUUUUUAUUAUAAUCUCAUUAAAUUGUUGAGGGAAGCCAAAGUGUUCUUCCUCUGGGAGAUGUAUAAGUAGAUAAGCACUAUCUUUCUGAAGUUGUAACUUAGUAAUAGUUUAUCUGACCUUGUACUACUUCUACACUUAGGAAUAUGCCUUCUCGGUCCAAUAGUUCCACAGGGCAUCAUGUACAGGAAGCUUUUACAGCUUAAACUUAUUGUGACUCCUAUACGCGGGUCACCAAAUAUAUUUAUUGGAACACCUAAGCUGCAUCUUUUUGAUCCAACGCAAUCUUACAAAGAUGGUUGAAUUGAAAUUUGGUAUGGGAAUUCUAACUGGAUCUAUCAGUUUCAUGUUUUGUAAAGCAAACUGGAUCUAGCUUUCUUUACAACUGAAAGAGCAUUGUUGCUACUACAUCAACAAUGGCUAAAGCUUUCACAUGUUCCAUGAGGAGUGCCAAAGCUUCAAAAUUUGAUUGAAGAGAUGACUUGAUUUGGAUGAGGACACUCAAGAGAAUAGAAAGAUUUGGUCCUGCUUCCUUCUCAUGCAUCCUUUUCUGAAGCCCACAUGUUAAUGGAAGUGGAUGAGCCUCUGAAACUCGUGAGCAUACACUUUGUACCUUUGCUUGUUUUCUCAAAUUUUUCUGUGCAAAGUAGCGUUUGAGGUUAGUACAAUAUAUAUUAAUGAAUCUUCACAAUCCUACUUUCGUUUGUCUUUUUUAUACAAUGCUUUGAACUGAGACUAUUAAGAGCAUAUUUUUUCUAAUCCAAAUUAUAAUUACUAUCCAUUUUUUCGUGUUGUUUUCAGAUUAUUGACUACGUGCUACUUUUUACCGUCAAACUAUUAACAUACAAAACAUUCGAAAUUAUCCAAUUAAAAGUAACUACAUAUAGUAAAAUAAAUAGAAAAUCAUCAAAAAGAAGACCUCAAAUAAUGUUGAAUUUGAUUGCAAAGGUUAUAUAGAUAUAUUAAAGAUAAGUUGUCACCUCUGAAGUAAUAAUAAUAACAAUUCAAUUUGACCAAAUCAAUCAGAUUAUAAUUUUUUAAUAUUAUUCGCGAUUGCGCGGAUAUGUAGUACUAGUAAUAAUUAAUGACACAUGGACAAUAAAUUAUGAAGCAUCUUAUGCUCUUGAUUUUGACGCCAUCAAAGUCAAAUUCACAUUUUCUUCUAAAAGUAAGCUAAGGUUAGGAGGCUUUUUCUUGUUUUUCCUUAAUGUGAUAUAUAGCAAUAUCGUGUAAAAUAUUUUGUACGCUAUAUAUAUCAAUGUAGUUCAUAAAUCGGUUAGGUAUUGUCACACUCUUUNNNNNNNNNNACAUAUAUUCAAUAUAAAUAAUUAUAAGUAAGUGUAGGCAGACCAUCAUGAAUUUAAGUAAUAUAUGAAUUUAAGUUGAAACGACUAUUCAAAAUUAAAGUUGUGUUUUUAUAUGAAAAUACAAUUAAGUUAAACUUUUGUGGGUGAAAAUUGGAAAAAAAACUAUUAAAACCUAUUUUUAAGCUUCAAUUUUCAUAAUACUUUUUAUAUUCUACCAUCACUUGACAUUACAAAUCGACACUUAUAGCGAAAUGAAUAAAAUUUCUCUAUCUUUAGUUUGGAGUUUUCGGAUUCAAGUUUUACAAAUAGAAAAAAACCAUUAGAGAGCAAUUACCUUUAAUUGGCCAUACACGACGAAUAAAGAUGAAUCAGACCAGUAAAUUCCGAACAUAAAAUAAUUAUACCCGAAAAAAAUUCUUGAAAAGAGAAAAUUUUGAAAUUAUAAAUUACUACUAUUAUGAAACGGACAACAAUAAGCAAUACCACAAAAUGAAAGAAAAUAGGAACACACAGAUUUAUGUGGAAACUCUUGACGGGAAAAACCACAGGCAGAGGAGGAGUAAUUUCACUAUAAUGGAGAGGAAUACAGCCGGAGACAAAAGUCUCAAUAACGUAUUUUUAAACUGUCCAAAAACUACCAACUAAAUCGCACUUAGCGGUCCGAUCCCUCCGCUACCACCACAGACCCCACAAAAAAUUACAAACAUGGGUUGCAUCGCGCACUUUUCAGGGCUGGAUCAACAAAAUUCGGAUCACAAACUCUAACAACUACAAUUUGAGAUUUUGCUAUUUCAAUAUGAACAAUUAACCAGUCUUACAUGGAAGGACAAGUGAUAUUGGUAGGACUAACCAGUUUACCAUAUCUAACAAAUUGAAAAAAAGCAUUGUAUUCAGUACAUAAUUCAACAUCUAGUUUCUGUUAAAAAGUUCUGGAUACUGUUGCCAUUUAGGCCAAAGCGUGAGAUCCCUUUGUGGACAAUUGGAUUUUAACACUUGUAGCUUUUAAUAUCAAAGAGUUAAAUCCAAGAGUAAACAGACCUAUUAAUGAAGGAGAAGGUGAUUAAAACAGGCUGACUGAGACAGUUUUCAAUGCCAAAGCACUAGACAUGCUGAAUUUGAAUGGAUUUAAUGUUAACUUGCCUCUAACGGUGUAAUAAUGUUUUCAUCUUUGCGAGAGUUUCAAACUUAGUGAUGUGUUUUUGGAUGAGGAAUUUAUAUUUUAUAUUUGAUCCUGUACUUCAGGAACAAGGUGUUCACGCUUUGGAAAGUAAUAAGACAAUCUCUAAGAAAUGAUGCAUAAAUUUACCUUUUCCAAUUUUCGAUUGCCUUUUAUCAAAUGUAUUUUGACAAAUUGCUGAAAAAAUAUGACUUCCAAGUUUCAACAUCUCACUCAUCUUGUCUAAUUAUGCAGUAUUUUUAUAAUCACGUUAAACACAAUGAUCUAUGUCUGUUCACUAAGAGACAGACAAUGGCGAGCUUAAUUACAAUGCUCCCGUUUGAAUCAAGUGGCUGGAAUUAUAUCUUCCGCACUUUGAUAUAUGUAUGAAUUAUGCUUAUGAUAGUCUGCUGAGGGGUCUCUCGGGCCUUCGUGGUUUGGGAUGCCCGUCGCGGCCAGGACCUCGGCUCGGCCUGUGAUAUUAAUGGAGUAAAAACCACGACCUAACCCAGUAGGAUUUCUCAACCACUUCACUUAACAAAAAACAAAUUUUAGAUUACAACCUUGUGCAACCUAGGAAUUAAACUCUUAAUUCCUCACUCUGACAAUAACUCUAUUAAAAGCCCUCUCUACAAUAGCUCUAUUGUAAAGAUAACCAACGCUAACUCUAGCCCACAAAGGUACUACCGCGGCUAACUGUAGUCCCCAACACUACAAUGGCUAACUCUAGCCCACAACAUCUACAAGAUAUGAGAGGAAAUUGUUGGGUUCAAUGGUGUGAAUGGAAAAUGGAGGCAAAUUCUUGGAGAGAAAGUGUACUCACUAAAGGAAAGUCUACUUCUCCCACAUUGGUGGGAGAAAGCAACUUUAUAUUGUUUUUAUUAAGAGAUACUCCUUCAAGUGGAUAGUGAGGCAAGAACCAAGAGGUGCCUCGCGCCGCCAUUGUUGCUCGCUCGACUUCGAAUUUGAGUUUAAUUGAAACUUGGAAAAAAAUAGAUCGGUAAAUCCAAUAGAAAAUUGUAUUUGGGAAAGUGGAUGACUGUUCGAAAAAGACAUACCAUUUUAAAUGGACAAACAUGAUCAUUCCGAGAUGAUACACCUUUCUAAUGAACCAUUGCCCCUUUCUGAAGGGGCACUUCAUUGAGCGAGUUCGAAGAAUCCAAUAGUUUGAGGUACUGCUACAGUAGGAUUGUAAGUCAUUUUAUCCGUCCGCGACCUCGGGUACUUGAGCGGAAUUAAUUCAUUAAGGACACUCCGUGAAUUUGGUGGACAAACAUGAUCAUUCCGAGAUGAUACACCUUUCUAAUGAACCAUUGUUGCUUUCUGAAGGGGCACUUCAUUGAGCGAGUUCGAAGAAUCCAAUAGUUUGAGGUACUGCUACAGUCGGAUUGUAAGUCAUUUUAUCCGUCCGCGACCUCGGGUACUUGAGCGGAAUUAAUUCAUUAAGGACACUCCGUGAAUUUGGAGGACUUGACUUUAUUUUUUCUUUAUCUUGUUUCUUUAAAUAUAACACACUUCUUUGAUAGUUCGUAUUGAACUUGUAUUGAAGGUGUUGAAAAAGUUCUUGAAAAAGUCUCGAACGCGUGUUGAAGUUUACUGAAUAAACAUACAGAUUGUGAUCCAAAAUAACAGAAAUAAAAUACCUAUGAAAGCUUCUCAAAAGAGGAGUAGGUUUACAUGUUAGAGCAAAAUAUAAAGACUCAAAAACCUAAAGCUAAAGACAUAUUCAGUUGUAGCAAACUGGUCCCUUGGUUCACUUUGAUGGAAAAUUGUGGUGGCUUUGCAAGAUGAAUGAGAAUUUUGAUUGUGCAAAUGCUAAGUUUUCCUCCCACAUAAUGAUAUAUAUAUAUAUAUAUAUAUAUAUAUGAAGCAAAUGAGAGGGGAAAACCUAGAAUAUUUCUCAUUGGUUGAGAUUAAAAAAUGUUGCUCCUCUGCUGUUGUGCCACCAACUUUUCUCAUUGGUCAACAACUUUACUGUUGACUACUAGAAGUUCAAUGACUGAUGAACCUGGUCCCUUGACAGGUUCGUCAAUCAUUAGGAACGGAUUUCCAUGUGUCAUUCCAUGUCGUAUAUCACUACAUAUAUUAGAACUAGGAAAUAUCUCCUUGAGAAGUUAUCAAUUAACAAGGUUAGGAAAUGGACGAAGUUCUAUAGGUAGUAUAUUUGGUAAGGACCAGGUUCUCACACAACUGACUUAGAAAAAUGAAUCAAGUUCUAUAGACAAAAUAUCUAAUACCAGGUUCCUCAUUAGUUUUAUUAAUCAUCAAAACCACAAGUACAUCACCAUUUUAUCUAAAAAAGCUUGGACAGUUAAGAGAGAGUUCAGUUUUAUUUACUUAAUUGUAUUCUCAAUAUGCAUGACAACAUGUCAAGAAUAAGCAUAUAGUCAUCAGAUUUUCUUUCUACAAGGUUAAAUUUUUAUUUUGAGGAGUGACGUGAAGUUGCAUUUACUGUUAUAAUUAUCUAAAUCGUUGAAGCUCCAACACAAAAUACUUGUUUCUCUUCAGAAGAAGUAUGCCUUACGUCUAAUGUAUUGAAGAUUAAUUAUACCUGUACUUUGCGUUAAUCAGGAUUUGUAAUUAGUUAGUUAAUUGUGGGUUAGGAGUUAGUUUGUUAGUUAAUUGGUUAGUGGUGUCCAGUUGUCAAGCAAGUUGGUGGUUGUAUAUAUAAUGUAUAGUGGACAAAUGAGAGUUAGUUUUCACUUUCACUUAGCUACUGGUUGCUUCUCUCCAAUGGAGAUUACUCUUUCCUCUUCCAAAUUCUUAUUGAUGGAACACAUUUCUCAACGUGUUUCUUAACAUGGUAUUAGAGACAUCUAGAUUGGUUAAUACCUUGAUAACUGUAGGUUUUUUUUAUUGUUGUUGCAGAGAGCUUUUCAUCUUUCCUGCGUUCGUAGUUUUGAAGCUUUCGAAUUUUAAUUCGUAUAUGCAAAAGUUUGUUGUUUGUUGAUGGAACUUCGAUUUCACAUUUUCGUUGAUUAAACUCACUGAGAUUAGCCUGAAAUGAGCUUAGUUUUAGUUAAUUGAAUCUGCAUAUCAAAUAUCAAUGGCAAUCACUGAGAAUGUCGUUAAUGGCGGAGAAGCUUCCACAUAUGCUUCAUCUACUCUAAAUCUGGAGGCGAGUGAUGCUUUGUACAUACAUUCUUCAGAUAGCCCAGGGAUGAUGCUGGUUCCAACACAAUCUGAUGGACUGGAUAUAUAUCCUGGAGGAGAGGAGUUCGACGUGCACUUUUUGUGAAGAACAAAUUAGGGUUCAUACAUGGUAGUUGUAAGAAACCAGAUACAAAUUCAUCUCAAUUUUGUCAAUGGCAAAGAUGCGAUGAUAUGGUAACAUCGUGGAUUCUCAAUUCGCUGUCAAAGGAAAUAUCUGAUAGUGUGGAAUAUUUAUGUGAUUCAGUGGAGCUUUGGAGAGAACUGGAAGAUGGAUAUGAUCAAACUAAUGAAGCCAAAUUGUAUCAAAUCCAAAAGGAGAUUAAUGAUCUCACACAAGGAGCAUCUACACAAAGAUGAUGAAGUUAUGGGAAGAGUUAAAUACUCUCAGUAUCAAAGAUCAAUGUAGUUAUGUGUGCAUGUGUGGAGCAAAGGAAAACUUGCAUAAGGCAGAGCAAGACAGGAGACUGGUUCAAUUUCUCAUGGGAUUGGAUAGGAUAUAUACUAUGGUCAGAGGCAAUAUCCUUAUGAUGAACCCUUUACCAUCCAUAGCACAGGCUUUCUCUUUGCUGAUACAGGAGGAAAAACAAAAGGAAUUUCAACCUACUAGUCAGUUGAUGGUCGAAUUAACCUCUCUCAAUGCCAACAACUAUAACAAUAGGAACAUUGUGGCCAGACCUCUCAAAAUGAAUUUUCCAACUAAUAACUUCAGAGGAACCAAUUAUACAGGAGGGAAUAGUAAUGCAGGAAGUGGUAGAAAUACUGUCAUGUGUGACUUUUGCAAAAAGCCAGGUCAUACAAGGGAUAGAUGUUAUAAGUUGCAUGGAUAUCCAUCCCCACAGAAAGUUCAAGGGAAUGGUCAAACUUUCAGACAUGAUGUGCCCACUGGCAACCAAUAUAACACUGGAACUCAGAAUUACAGACAGAAUAAUAACUACAAAGGCAAAGGAGUUGUUGCCAAUGUACAUGGAAUGCUAGGAGAUACAAGAGGGGACCACUUGUCAAGAGAAAAUUAGAAUAAUAACAGUCUCACAAAGGAGCAAUUUGGACAGUUAAUGACUCUAAUGCAGCAUUUUCAGAAUGAGUACAUGGGAGAGAAUCCCAACACUACUGAAAACUUGACUUCAGAUGUUGGUAACCUGGUAUUGUUGUUUGCAAAUCUUCUAUAGAUUUUGAUCACCUUUUAUGCAAAUGCUUUAAAUCAAAUGCUGACUUAUGGAUUAUAGACUCAGGGGCUUCCAAUAAUAUGACCUUCAGUAAAGAUCUCCUACAAAACAUCACACCCCUGCCAUAUCUCAUAUUAGUAUCUCUCCCUAAUGGUUAUAGAGUUAAGGUGUCAGAGUUUGGUGAUGUAAAAAUUUCACCCUUGAUCAUAUUACAUAAGGUGUUAUAUUCCUUCAUUCAAGUACAACUUUAUCUCUGUCCACUCCUUUUCUUCUUCCCUAAAAUAUAUUUUCUUGUUUACAAAUACAUUGUGUAUGCUGCAGGCCCUUUCAAUGAAGAGGCCUCAGGUGAUUGGUAAUUGCAGGGAUGGCCUUUACUACCUGUGUUCAAGAUCCUUGAGCAUCACUGGUUCAUCACUACCAUAUCUUCUACUUGUUGCAAUGCUCUUAAUAGCAAUUCCAUAGCUACUUUGCCUAAAUCUUGUGUUGUAUCUAAGAAAACUGCACUCACUGGGAGUGCAGAUGAUCUGCUUUGCCACCCUACUGCAAUUCCUUCUGUACAUAACUCCAUUUUACUAAUAAAGAAGAUAUGUUUAUUUCUAAUUCUUGUUUGUCUGUUAAACAUAACAUGGACUUAUUGUGGCAUUAUAGACUUGGCCAUGUUCCCUUUGUGAAAAUGAGAGGUAUUCAAUCCCUACUAGCUACUCUUCCAAACAACCUUUCUUGAGUUCCAUCUGCCCCAUGGCUAGACAAACACGACUACAUUUUAGCAGUAUCACCAAUCACACCAAGCAUAUUUUUGAAUUUGUCCAUGUAGAUCUAUGGGGACCCUAUCAUAAUUCUACACAUGACAAUUACAAAUAUUUCCUCACCAUGGUGGAUGAUUAUAGUAGAUCUACCUGGACACAUCUAUUGAGCACCAAAAACAAUGCCUUAUCUAUCCUAAAGACUUUCAUCACAAUGAUACAAAACCAAUUCAACACCACAGUUAAACCAUCAGAUCAGACAAUGGUCUUGAGUUUACAAGCAAUGAAGCUUUAGUUUUCUUUCAAUCUAAUGGGAUAAACCAUCAGAAAACUUGCCCCUACACACCAUAACAAAAUAAUAUGGUCAAGAGAAAACACAAAUACUUGCUUGAAAUAGCUAGAGCUCUCUUGUUUCAAUCAAAAUUACCUUUGAAAUAUUGGGGUGAUUGCCUCCUAACAACAACAUACAUCAUUAAUAGACUUCCCUCUAGUUACCUAAAAAACAAAUGCCCUUUUGAGUUAUUGUACAACCAAAAACCUGAUUAUUCUUACUUAAACUUCUUUGGAUAUUUGUGCUAUCCAACAGUGCCCAAAGUCCACAGAGAUAAACUUGAACCAAGAACUACACCACAUGUUUUCAUUCGAUACCCAUUUGGAACAAAAUUCUACAAGGUAAUGAGUUUUGCUACAAAAAAAAUACAAGUCUCUAGGGAUGUUAUAUUUCACGAGCAUAUCUUCCCUUUCAAUUUGAUAUCUACAAAACACACUUUCCCUCCUGCACUAAAGACAAUGUACCAUGAUGAUCCUGUGUACUCUGAUUGUGGAACACCUGAUAUCUUAGUAAGUGAUCAUGUGAAUGAUUUUGUUACAUACACUGCAUCACCACUGAACUCAGUUCCCACACAUCCACCUUCUUUACCUCCUACACUAUAUAUAUCAUCACAUGAUUUCCAUUCCCAUGAAUAAACUAAUAAUCAUACAAAUAUAUAUAUUAGAAGAUAUACCAGGGAAUAUAAAACUCCCCUUUACUUCAAAGACUACAUAUGUUCAACUCCUACUUUGAAAGCCAUUCUUCCACCCAAAUAUGCACCACCUGCAAACAUGCACACUGAUUCACACACCAAUUCCUCUAAUGCUAAUUUCUCUUUGAAAGCAAUGUUUACCAAUCAUCACCAUGUGUCCCCUGACGCUACUACACACCACAUUCAAGCACUUGUUGAAAGUAUUUGUCAUGAUAGUGAACCAUUAUCUUAUGAAAAAGCAGCCACAAGCCUUGCUUGAAAAAAUGCUAUGAUUCAAGAAUUUGAAGCAUUACAUGCUAAAAACACUUGGGACCUUGUUGAGAUGCCACCAGAAAAAUAAGUGAUUAGUUGUAGAUGGGUAUAUAAGAUCAAACAUAAGGCAGAUGAAAGUGUGGAAAGAUUCAAGGCUAGACUUGUGGUUAAGGGAUAUACACAGCUAGCUGGAAUAGAUUAUACUGAGAGAUACUCACUAGUAGUCAAGAUGACUAUAGUCAGAACUUUGGUAGAAUGUGUUAUUAAAAAAGGUGAGUAGUCAAGAUGACUAUAGUCAGAACUUUGGUAGAAUGUGUUAUUAAAGAAGGUUGGAACAUGUUUCAAUUAUAUAUAAACAAUGCCUUCUUGCACGGAGAUCUUCAUGAAGAAGAGUAUAUGUAAUUACCUCAAGGUUUGGAUGUAGAUAACCCUAAAUUAGUGUGCAAAUUGAAUAAGUCUCUUUAUGGGCAAAAACAAGCAAGCAGACAGUGGUAUGAAAAGUUAACUGAAGCCUUAUCUACUAGAGGAUACAUCUACUCUCAUCAUGAUUACUCUCUAUUCUUCAAGAGAUAUGGAUCACUAAUGGUAUUUAUAGUUGUGUAUGUUGAUGAUGUUAUCCUAACAGGAACAAAUUUAGAAAAAAUAGUAUUGCUUAAGAGUUAUCUCCAUGAGACAUUCAAGAUUAAAGAUAUUGGACACUUAUACUAUUUCCUAGCAUGGAGGUACUUGACAUAGCAAGAGGGGUCAUUAUCUCUUAGAGGAAAUUUACUAUGGACCUGCUCAAAGAAUACAACUGUUUUAACUAUAGUUUUGUGUGUUCACUACUUGAUCCUACUGUCAAACUAAGAGCUAAGGAGGGGGAUCCACUGCCAGAUCCUAUAUACUACAGGAAACUUAUAGGCAAGCUAAAUUUUCUCACCAAUACAAAGCUGGAUAUUGCAUUUAGUAUGCAGCAGUUAUGUCAAUACAUGCAAUAUCCAAUAAUACCUCACUUACAAGCAGCCUUCCAUUUGCUAAGGUACCUGAAAAAGAUCAAACACUAGAAAUCUACAUGUCCAAUGAUCAUUAUGGUAUAGUGAUGUCAUUUUAGUGAUUCUGACUAGGCUUCUUGUCCAGACUCGAUGAGGUGAGUUAGUAGGCGUAAUACCCCAAAAAUCCAAACCAAUAUUAGAACCAUGCUUCACGUUAAUGCAAAAUAAAUUAUAGUGAUUUGGUAGUUUUACGAGUGUGUUUUAUGUAUAUUAAGGCCUCAAAUAACUCCUAGCUAUUAGACGAAUCAAAAUAUCCCUUACCGAUUGAGUUUUUAGAGAAGAAUGUUGCUAUAGUCAACUUCAAACAAGCAUAUCCUUAGUUUUACUAAGAUUUUUUGAGCUCAUGACCAGCCAACAGAUAAAUAACUAAAUUAUCUUUCCAACGAUAUCAAUUUUUUCUAAAUUGAUACCCGGGUGAGAAGUUAUGGAAAUUUUAGUGAGAGGUAGUAGCUCACCGCGAUAAUGCCAUGUCGCGGUGAUCCCCAAAAUUACACUCGUCCCUUUCUAGUAUCUCACCAAAAUUAGCCAGUGUCGUGCCAAGUAUCAUGGUGGAACAGGUGCCGCAUCAUGGAGGAGUGCAAAUUCGCACCCGCCCGUUUCCAGUGAUGCAACGCGAUAUCAUUGCGUCGCACAAAGGUGUAAAAUUGGCAUCUUCCUUUUUAUAGUGACAAAACACGAUAUCACUGUGUCGCGCUAGAGGUCAAAUUCACACUUGUCCUUUUUCAAGUGGAACAACACGAUAGCACCGCGUCACGCUGGAGUGUAAAAUCGGGAUUUCCAGUUCCGAGUUUUAAAUUUCCAAGGGUGGUUUAGUCUUUUCCCAAGCCCCCAAUUUGUGAAAACAAGAGAUUAAACCUAUUCUAAGUCUAGUACGCUGAUUAUUCACAAAAAAUUUUCUCCAAGAAAAUCCUAAAGCUUCACCUUUCAAGUUCAAUUCUCACAAAAAUCCACCAAGGACUUUCAAGGAUUCUUCAAUUGAGGUAUGUUAAAUGUUCAUCCAUGGGUCCUUUCCACCCAUGGAGUCCAAGAACCCAAUUUCAAAUUCAAAGUGGUGAUUUUUACAAGUUAUUAUGAUUUUAACCAUGAAUCCCCAUGAUUUUUUUAUACCAUGUUACAUGUAAUUGAUGUUGUUAUAAAUCCCCACACAUUUGAAUGAUGUUUUUCAUUGAAUUAAAUCUUAAUUGGUGAUUUAGUAGUGAAAUCAUGCUAUUACUAUACAUUUAAAACUAUUCUCAUGCUUAGCUUAAACCAUAAAUUACAAGUGUUUGAUGAAAUGCCUACAAGACUGAGUUUUGAAUAAAUGCUUACAUAUCAUGUCCUCAAAGUUUUAGUACGGCCUUGCUAUCAUUGUUAUCCAGUUUUGAGGGUUUGAAAACCCAAAAUUUAGCUGCUUACCUAGUUUUCAGUAGUUAUAGAAUGGUUACAAAAUAGUUACGAGCCCUAUCUUUUCAGUUAGUAUUUUUAAAUAGUUAAGCAUAGUCAGUCCAAUAUUUCAGGUCUUUCAGUUAGGAGUAGAAUUUAGCACCGAGCGAAUGAAGGGAUAAUGGUUUCCCCGUCAGUUAGGCAGAGUUGUUAGUAGCAUUCCUUGUAUUUCAGAACUACAUAGCGAGCAUAUGAUAUGAGGAGUCACCCAUCAUUUUAGUCUUGACUCUGCAAAGGUGUCACCCAUCAGUUUAGGCUUGACAUCUUGGUUGUUCAGUAGUUUAGUGGAUCCACGUAGCCAUGUGUUAGUACCCAUGGCAUGGUACUGGCACCGUUCCAACUGGGGUUAUAGGUUGGACCCUAAUUUACUCAUUGGGGCAUGUCAGUUAGAUGAUAGCUCCCAUAGUCUCAGUUUAGUGUUUAGUAUACUUUAGUUCAUGUUUGCAUUGGCCAUAGCAUACAUAUAUUAGUUAUUCAAUUAUCAAAUUUCAGUAUUUUAGUUUACAGACUAUUUUCAGAAUUAUAUUAUAUGCUUGGUCAUGCAUUCUCAGAUUUUACAGUUUUCAUGCAUUCUCAGAUCUUACAGCUUUCACGCAUUUAUAUUCAGUAAUCUCAUGCUAACCAGUUAGUCUUUACUUCAUGCAUAUUCACUCAGUUAUCUCCUAUUAUUCAUCCAUUUAUUACUUCAUAUUCAGUUAUCCCAUGCUAAUCAUUCAGUCAGUUAUUACUCAUGCACAUGAAAUAAUGCAUAUUAGCCUAACCUUAUUUAGUAUACCAGUAUAUUCAAAGUACUGAUUGCAUACUCGUUUUUUGCGCUAUGAUGUUUAAUAUCAUAGGUUCGGACGCUCAGUUCCCUAAUCAUGCAUAGGCAUACCAGAUUAUCUGUUGUAGCAGUGGUGAGUCCUUAUACUUUUAGGAGAGGGGUUAUUUACCUCAGUUUAUCUUAUUAGUUCAGUAUUUUCUAUUCAAAGUUAGUUGGGGAUUUGUCCCAUCAACUCUAUAGUCAGUCAGUUAGAGGCUUUCAACACUUUUAGUCAGUUAUUCAGUUGUUAGAUACUAUUGACAGUCUUAUAGUAUUAUUUUUAGACAGAUGGUUUUAGUAUUUUGAUUCAAUAUCAUUUUUUGUAUUUAAAACUUAUGGUAUUUUGAGUUAAGUUUUGUACAUGUUUCCUGUCAUUCUAUUCUAUGCUCAUAACAGGUACCAUCAGGGGUUAGCUUGUAGUCACUUGUGACUGUAAGCACCAUAUAGCGCCCAGGUGGUAAUCUUGGGGCGUUAUAUACUUGGUAUCAAAGCCAGGUCUUAAAGUGUCCUAAGGACUCUAAAAUUCGUGUUGAGUAGAGUCUUGUGCAUAUGUGUGAAGUGCGCCACACUUAUUGUUAAGUGGCUACAAGUCAUUUUAGGAAAAGUUUCCCUUCCUUCAGUAUUCAUGUCAUGCGAAAGAGCAUGAACUCUAUUUAAACUCUCUGCCUAACCUAUCCAUACUUCUGUUUAUAGAAAAUUCCACCCAAAGGGAACAAUAGAAGAAGAAAUAGGAAUCAAUCCGCACCUCCGCCUAUUCAGGAAGAUCCCCUGAAUGAGCAUGUCUCUCAUACCGAAUUCGGAGCAGCUUUUACUAUCUUACCUUAUUCAGUAGUUGCUUAGAACAAUCUAAAGGUUGUUGUACUAUCUAGGAUUUUGAUCCAUGCUCAGCUGAGUGACAGAAGGGAGCAUAGGAAUAAAAAAAAAGAAUAAGAGGGCCAGAACAAGUAGUUUUAAGCUAAGGUCAAGGGGUAGUAACCAGUCCUAAUUUUGUUAGAAAUUCUCAGCCCCAGAUCUGCCUUCAGCCAGUGUUCAAAUGCCUAAGUUUAAGAAUGAUAGUCGAGAUAGAUCACUAGGCUUUAAGUCAUGGAGUAGUGGGAAGGGUGUUCGUACAAAUUCGCUUUAUGAAGAAUGUAGAAAGAAUAAUAAGGGUUUGUGUAGAGCCGGCAGUGAUAUGUGUUUUGGGUGUGGAAAGCUAGGCCACAAAGUCAGAGAUUUCCCAAAGAGUGGUCAGCAAGGUCAGUCCAACAGUCCCCCAGUUUCAUUCGGUCACUUAACUCAGUAGGGUGCCGCUUCUAGCGUAACUAGUGGCAAGCGUCAGAAUAGGCUUUAUGCACUUCAGUCCCAAUAUGAUCAGGAAAGUUCUCCUAACAUGAUUACUGGUACUUUUCAAGUCUUUCAUUUACAUGUUAUGCUUUUUUAGACCCUGGAGAUUCUCUUUGUUUUGUAACCCCCUGUAUAGUUGUCGAGUUCAAUGUCAGUCCUGAUAGAGCCCCUCUCAGUGUCUACCUCAGUAGGUAAAUCUAUCCUAGCCAGACGAGUAUACAAAAACUACCCAAUUUCAGUAUCCCAGAAAAUCACUUUAGUUGAUUUCAGAAAUAGAGCCAUUCAAUUUUAGUUAUUGAAUGAAACGGUCAUUGAAUGAAAGGGUAGUACCUCAAUGCUUAGGGGUCAGAUGUGUUUUUAGAUCCCUUCUCAAAACCCUAUGACAGUAGAUGACAUAGAAUUAGAAGCAUAAACCUAGAAGUUUAGUAGCAAUAAAGUAGGGCUAGUAGUGUUUGAAUUUGAUGGAUUACGUAUCCAUGGGGAUAGUUGUAUGAAAGGUGAAUCAGUAGGCUUGAAAUGGUGUAUGCAAGAAUUUGAGCUAAUUAUUAUGGUGUAGGUGUGCUUAUGUAGUACCCUUGAGUGCUAAGUUUGAAUGGGCUAGUAAUGUAGAAAUUAAUGUUGUUACCAGCUAAGUUGUGGGCUAUAGCAUGUUGAUAUCGGAUGUCUAAGUGUAAAGGUAAUUCUCAUGGUUUAGGGAGAAAUAUAAGUUUAGAUAUAUUAUAUUAGUAGGCUGUAAAGGUAGUUAGUAUGGUUCAUUAAGAUGUUGAGAAUAUCCAUGUUAAGUGAUAGAAUUUAAGCUUGAAUCUUUGAAGAUUGAGCUAAUGGGAAGUUGAGUUGAGGUACUACAUGGUGUGAACUCAUGGUAUGGUGAUACUCUUUGAAUUGUGAUACUCUAAGGUACUACAUGGUGUGAACUCAUGGUAUGGUAUGGGGAUAUAGAAAGAUAAGAAUUGUGUAUCAGAAAGAAGUACCAACAGUGGGUCUUACAUUAUCAGUUAUAGUAUUUUAGGGUAAGUAUAGUGCUUAUGUGCAUUAUUCUACCCCAGACUCUAGAGUAAAGUGGUGACAGUUAAGUUUAGCAUUGUUGAUUAAGUUUUCGUAGACUUAGAAUUAUAGCUUUAAGCCAAGGGGGAGAUGGUAGAACAAGUAACCAAGUUAGGCUCUCAAAUCCAUGCAGUGAGACCAGUAUGUAUAGAAAAGAAGUAGGAUAGGAUGAUGCCCGACCUGCUCUUAUUUCAGUGCAAGGUUUUUUAGUUAUCACGAUAUUUACUCAUGCCUUACAUGUUAUCUCUAUGAUCAUAUCUCAUAAUUGUACACAUUAUAGAAAAUUAUGUACUCUCCCAGUCCCUAGUAUGAGGAGUUCUAGUUCACCCAGUAGUACGAAUCAUGUUCCAUGAAUUCAGAAACUCCAAACUCAGGUCAUGCAUUUCAUGACUCAUGUAUUCAUGUUUUAUGGUAUGUUCAGUUUACAUGACUCAUGCUACACUCUUAAUGAUCAGCAAAAUUUAGAUUUGUGUCAUGUAUGUCCUCAGUUUAGACUUCUUUAAGGAAUUCAUGUCGUUUAUACUCUAUUCCUCAGGACCUAGUUAAAUGUCCAAGGUAUACAUGGUAUUUCUUCCAUGCUUUAGGAUCUCAUGUUCUAAAUUUUCAGUGACUUAUCCUUAUGAAAUGAUGUUGAUGAUGAGUAAUUUGUUUAGAUGUGAGAAAGUAAAUAUUUCAUGUUAAGGAAAGAUUGUUGCAUGAUUGUUUUACAUGAGGCUAUAGUUGUGAAGAUAUGCUUGAAUGUCAUGUUGGUGUGUAAGUGGAUAAAUGCACUAUACGUUAGUGAAUGGAUAGUAAGAGGUUGUAUUUAGUUGUUGAAGGGGUGAUCAGAAUUAUUCAGGGGAUGGGAAGUUAUGAAAAUGCAGUGUGUAUUGAAUUCAUGACUCAGACUAGUAUUACAGUGUUAUGUGUGCGUUUUAUAGAUUUGAGUAGGCUUGAACAUAGUAGGAGAAUUCAGUCCAGCUCAGACCUCAGUAGAUACAGUUAUCAAUGCCCAUGUGAAUAUUUUUAGUAGCCUCAAGUGAAGUGCGGCGUUGAAGUAGAAAGUAUACUUGAGGGAGUAGUUGAGAAGUGUGGCUAAGAUUGUAAGUUAGUAGUUGUAGUGCAUAAGGCUUAGUAACUCUGUCCUAGUUGAUGUUUAGUAGGCCUUUGUCCCAUAUUACAGAAUUUUAGCCAUGUUGUGAUUUCUUAUUCAGAUAUCCUAUUCAGAGCAUACCACGAUUAUUUUCUCCCUAAAGUCUUGAGAACUUCAUAGAAAGAGUAUCGAAGAAAUACUCUAGUUAAGUUUAAGCUUUCAAUAUGAGUUAGUUUGUAUAGCCAGUAAUUCAAUUUAGCAGUCAGGCAGACAAGUUACUAUAGUUUCAUCUCUCCUAUUGAGGAGGAAAUUCCUUCAUGACCAUGCAAGUCAUAACUUCAGUUCAUGAAUCAAGCAUCAGUUUCAGAUUUCAGGUAUUCAGUCAUGAUUCAGUUCAUAAGUGUCUCGUGUAUUAUCUCAAUCUUUCCUCAUUAUUUUAGCCAUGUCAGUGUCUUUUAGGGGACAUAAUAUCCUAAGGGGGAGAUGUAAUACAAUCCCCCAAGCUUUCAUUUCCUAAACCUUCCAUAUUCUAUUCACAUAACAAGAUCUAACUUGAAGUAAUGGGUACUCAUAACUUGAGUCUCGUUCCAAUCUCAGCCUUAUAAACUAUUCUCAUAUUAUUACGCGUAUUCAAGGAACUCAAUUUAGUUCAUGAUAUUAGGUUCAUACAUUAUGUUUUAGAUCCAGUUAUGUUCUCAUGUUUCCAAUUAUGCAUGUUCACUAUAUGAUCUCAUAUUCUUCAAUACUCUCAGCUAAACCAAUCAUAUUCGACGACGAAUGUUUCUAAGGGAGAGAUAUUGUAAUACCAUAAAAAUUCAAACCAAUAUUAGAACCAUGCUUCAAGCUCAUGCAAAAUAAAUUAUAGUGAUUUGGUAGUUUUACGAGUAAGUUUUAUUUAUAGUAAGGCCUCAAAUAACUCCUAGCUAUUAGACAAAUCAAAAUAUCUCCUAUCAAUUGAGUUCUUGAGAAGAAUAUUACUAUAGUCAAAUUCAAACAAAAAUAUAUUUCAUUUACAAAGAAUUUUUGAGCUCAUGACCCACCAACAUAUAGAUAAUUGGAUUAGCUUUCCAACGAUACCGAUUUUGACUAAAUCCAAUACCCGGGUGAGAAGUUAUGCCACUUUUAGUCAGAGGGAGUAGCUCAGUGCGAUCAUGCCACGUAAUGGUGAUCCCAAAAAUCACACUCGUCACUUUCUAGUAGCUCACCACGAUUGAUCAGUGUCGCACCAAAAAUCAAGGUGGAACAGGUAUCGCGUCACGGAGGAGUGCAAAUUCUCAUUUGUUUGUUUUCAGUGACGCAAUGCAAUAGCACCGCUUCACGCCAAGGUGUAAAAUCGGGAUCGUCCUUUUUCCAGUGACGCAAUGCGAUAUCACCGCAUCACGCCAAAGUGCAAAUUUGCACUCAUCCCUUUUCCAGUGGCGCAAUGCAAUAGCAUCGCAUCGCGCCAAAGUGUAAAAUUGGGAUUUCCAGUUCUGAGUUUUAAAUUUUCAAGGGUGGUUUAGUCUUUUUCCAAGCCCCCUGUAAUACCCCGCAUUUUGGGCUAGAAUGAAAAUCAUUAUUUUUAUGCGUAGAUGAUCCAAAAUCCAUAAAUCUUAUUCAAAUUUGGUAUGUUAAUCAAUUAUGUAGUGUGGGAACCUAUUGAGCAUGAAUUGAGAUCAUAGAGGUCCCCUAACUCAAGGACGAGUUGAAAGCUUUUCUAUCGUUCGAGUUUGAGUGAACGUCAAAACUUGGGUCAACCUCAAUCAAUCAUAACUCUUUGUAUAUAACCAAUUAGAAGGCCUACUAUAUAUCAAAUGAAAUUUCUUUGAGUUCUCCUUCUAACGCCACUGGUUUUGCUUUCAUCCGAUAUCGAAGUAGAAAGUUAUGCUUAUUUUACUUCGAAGUGGUGGUCUGCCAAAACGUGACUACGAGGCUGACGACUUAUUAGUUGUAUGAUGGCCCGUCAGACCUGGUCAUUAGCCUAAGGCAUUGAAUGGUGAAAACCAGCCCAAAAGUGAAGACCUGGGUGACGACUUAUCAUCUGAGUGACAGCCCGUCAACCGUGGUCGUCAACUGAUGCAAUUAUGCAAUUUUUUUGGGUUCCUUAGGGGUAUUUUGGUCUUUUACUCACUCCAAAAACCUUUCACACGAAUUAAAUCACCCCUUAAGAGUUAUUAAUCAAUUACUAUCAGUUUUACAACAUAAAAAACUUUCUGUUCACUCUCAAAAUAAGAUCAAACUAGGGUUUUCUCCAAGAACAAGAAAUUCAAGAAAAUCAAGCCUUAAGAUCAAGAUUUCCAAGGAACGAAUCGAAAUUAGAGUUCUUCUCUUUAAACUAAUUAAUUUGAGGUACGUUGUGUUUAUCCUAAAAAAACUACAUGGGCUUGGAAACAUUAGAACAUGAUUUAAAGAUUUUCAAGCAUGAUUUUAGAAAUGGGUUUUGAAAUACAUGAUUUUAUUAUGCAUUAUGAAUGUUAAAUGUAUUAUUGAUUUGGUCCUUAGGACUUCCCCCUAAAUUGAUUUACAUGUAUACGUAUAUGUAUGAAAUUUGAGAUUGAAGAUUGUUUGAGAGCAUAAAUUAUGGACUCCCCCUCUUGUGAUAAAUUAAAGAUUUUGAUUUUGUUGGAAAAGAGUUGAAAUGCAUGUUUUGUGAGUUGAAAGAUGUUUUGUCAAUGUUAUAGUAUUUGAACAUUGAUUUAGAAUUGUUGAGAGGGUGUAUUGAUAUAACUAUGUUUUGUGUUAAAGAGAAGAAUUGCAUAAGAUAGAGACUUUGGACAUGACCACCAUUGUUUGUUGAAUUAUUGAUAAAGAAAAUUGCUUGCAUGGUUUUACAUGAAUUUUAAAGCAUGAGUUUCUUGAAAGAAUUGUUGAUAUGGUGGUACUGAAUUUCAUGAUUUGAAAACAGAGAUAUAAUUUGAUAUAAAUGGCUCAGAGAAUGUGACUUGCAAGUCAAUGGUAUGACGAUACCAUAUAUGUGUAUGCCAUGAUAGAGUUAAAGAUUUCAAAGUAUGUUUUCAGAGCAUGCAUGUUUAAAGAACUAAAAAUAGGCAUAAAGAGAGUUAGGUGGUUACCCGAAUAAGGCAUGAGUUCAAGUAACUCUUAGCCUAAAAUCGUAUUUUCUGAUACAGGUAGAUCAUCGACGGCCGUGUGGCGUAGUAGAUUCAGAGACUCCGACCCUUGCAGCACACUUGGGUUGGGGGCUUGGUUGCCGAGUUAAUGGCAGAUUCCAUAUAGCAUGUGGGAUUACAGAUUGUAGGGUACACCACUGUCACGACCCAAAUUGAGGCCCUGACCGUGACGAGCAUUCUCGAACCGUGAAUGCCCGAGACGCCCUCUGUCUAUCUGGUAAUCAUGCGCAACAUUCAUAUAAUAAAAGAUAAUGCGGAAAUAGAAAUCUAAUACAAAAAUAUGGUCAGUCUGAAUGUGAUCAUAAUACUGAAAAAUUGAGAUCCAAAAUAUAUCUGGAUAAUAAUAAUGUCUGACUCAGUCUGCGAAAUCUCUACUAUGAACUAAACAAAAUUGUCUGAAAACUGGGACAAGGCCCCCAGUAGACCAAAACAUGACUAAAGAUAAAUAUCUGAAAGUAAAAAGGCCUUCUGAAAUAUAGAAGGCUUACCCCUGCACAAUCUGCUCUGCGAUCUGAAUUAUCUACUAUUUAUCUGGACCCCAAGACUGUGUCUCAAAACCUGGAACGAGGGGGGGUCAGGAAAAAUGUACUGGCACGCGAAGCAAUCCAAAAUAAAUUAUUUGAACAUAUAUAUAAUAGAUGAGAACAAUUUUCAUCAACACAUCAUGUAUAAAAUAGCUUCUGAAAACACAUGGGCAUCAUUCAAAAAUCAUAAGACAUUUUUGUCAAAACAAUUUUUGAUAUUUGUAUUACUUCUGAGUUAGGUGACACUCCUCUACAAGUUUGAUAUUCCACGGGCUAUAUGGAAUCUGCCAUUGACUCGGCAGGGAAGCCCUUAACCCAAGUGUGCCGCAAGGGUUGGAGUGUCUGAGUCUGAUACGCCACACGAUACUUAACCCAACGUAUAAUAAUAUACCUGGAUCGGCAAAUCAUGGUUUUGGGCAAUGAGUUGUCUGAACUCAUGCCUUCUUUUGGGACCACCUAACAUCUCUUUAUGCCCAAUUUUUAACCUUUUCUGAACAUGUAUCAUUCUGAAAUUUCUUAAUCAUGAAAGUCUGAUAAAAUCUAAUUUCUGAACUAGUAUGUGUCUGUUAUGGCAUUUGUCUGAGUUAGUAUCGUCAUACCAAGACUUUCAAGUCCUAUUUUUGAGCCAUAAUGCAUUUAGCAUGAUCUUUCAUAAAAGUGUAGUUUCAGACCACCCAAACAUGUAAUUUACAUAAAAGAUUUCAUGUUCCGAAACUCAAGUCAAAACCAUGCAAAAACUUUCAUCAAACAUAUGGUGGUCAUGUGAUUUUGGCAAAACUAUGCACUCUUUCAUUAUAUGUGUAUUCAAUAUUUACAACCCUUUCUUUCAUGUUCAAAAUCGUAUUCCAAACAUAGCAAAGUCAAAGCAUUUCAUAUCAUGAUUUUUCAAGACGUAUUUCAAAACAAUCUAUAUCAUGUGAAACAUGGAAAAAUUACAUCAAGAGAGGGAUUUCAUGUAAAUCGUGCUCUCAAUUCAUAUUUCAAGGCAAAACACAUAUAUACAUAUACAUAUAAUUUUCAAGUCACUUUGGGAGAAAGCCAAAAGGCUAAAACAAUGUUAUUUAAAGCUUCUAAAACAUGAAUAUGUACAUGAAUUCGAAAACCCCUUUCUUAAAGCAUGAUUUCUAUGCCCAUGAGAAUUAGAAAAACCCCACAUAUCUCUAUUUAAGAAAUUGAGGGAUGAUCCUUGAAGCCUACGAUGUGGGGAUUCCAAAUCUCCAAUUAUCUUUCAAAACCCACGGUUGAAUCUUGAGUUAGUUGAGAUUUUUGUUUGAACCCCUAAGGGAUGUUCUUGAGAGAAAAUUUGAGAAAAUAAUUAUAUUUUGAUGAAUUGGGGGCUAAAUCUAGCGUUAUAGAUGAAAUUUGGGUGAGGUGAAAUGAAUAAAAUGCCCCUAAGAAAACAAACAAAGUCGAAACUGUCCCUCAGUUGACAAGCUGACAGGCUGAAGUAAAAUAGGUAUAACUCCAUACUCAGAUGUUGGAUUUGGAUGAAACCAGUUGCAUUAGAAAGAAGAAUAAAAUAUAUUUCAUUUGAUAGGUAGAAGAUCUCUCAGUUCAUUACAUUUAGAGAUUUAUGAUCAUUUGAAGUUGAACCUGAAAUGCUGAAAACUAGGCAACAGACUAUGCGUUUUGCUACUGUUUUGAAAUCCAAACGCAGCCUUAUGCGUUCCGAAAAAUUUCAAAACUUAUCCGAGAUGUAUUAUGAGAUUUUUUGAUCAUAACGCAACUUUAAAAUAUAAAAAUGGAGGACAGGAAGGUUAAAAAGUUGUAUUCCAAAGAUUGCCAGCUAAAAUGACUGUAAGUUCUCAUUACACUUAGAAAAUUUUUCAAGUUUUUAAGUCUAAGAUCACUCUAUUAAAGGAUAAUCCAUGCACGACUUUUACAGGGUGUUACAAUCACCUAGCACAGAAGUAAUACAAAGAGUGUCACAGAAUUCAAAUGUUUUCCCAGAGUCUUUUAAAAAUGUCAUGUGAUUUCUUAAUAUAUGAUAUGUUUAUGAACUGUUUUAAAUUUCUCUCAUAUAUGUUGAAUAUAAAUAAUUAUUUUAGAUUUGAUCUGCGUACCAGUACAUCUGUAUUGACCGUCUUCCCCUACCUCUCAGGUUAUGAGGCUCAGUCUAGGGGUCUUGAUAAGUAGUAGAUAUUUCGGACAGCAGGGCAGAGUUCAGUGGUGAGCCUUCUAUAUUCUAGAAGGCCAAAUAUUUUACAGUUAUUCUAUCAUUACUAUAGUUUUGGUCUACUGGGGGCCUUGUCCCGGAUUUCAGACAGUAUUAUUUUGAGAGAUAGUAGAGAUUUUGCAGACUGAGUUAGAUGUUAUUUAGACGUUGCUGAAUUGCAGUUUCAUCAUUAUUUUUUAAUUCAGAUUUGACCAUGAUUCCAUAUUAUAUUUUGUUCGACAUCUUCUAUUAUUGUAUGAACGUUAUGUAUGUCUACCAGAUAAAGAGGGGCGUCCGAACCUUCAUGGUUCUGGAUGCUCAUCAUGGAUAGGGCCUCGGUUCGGAUCGUGACACCUCCAAUUCGUGAAAAUAAGAGAUUAAACCUAUUCUAAGCCUAGUACUCUCAUUAUUCACCAAAAUUUUCUCCAAGAAAAUCCUAAAGCUUUACCUUUCAAGAUCAAUUCCCACGAAAAUCCACCAAGGACUUUCAAGGAUUCUUUAAUUGAGGUAUGUUAAAUGUUCAUCCAUGCGUCCUUUCCACCCAUGGAGUCCAAGAACCCAAUUUCAAAUUCAAAGUAGUGAUUUUUACAAGUUAUUGAGAUUUUAACCAUGAAUCCCCAUGCAUUUUGAUUUCUAUACCAUGUUUAAAUGUAAUUGAUGUUGUUAUAAAUACGCAUACGUUUGAAUGGUGUUGUUCGUUGAAUUAAAUCUUAAUUGAUGAUUUUAGUAGUGAAAUCAUGCUAUUACAACAAGUUUUAAAACUAUUCUCAUGCUUAGCUUAAACCAUGAAUUACAAGUGUAUGAUGAAAUGCCCACAAGAAUGAGUUUUGAAUAAAUGCUUACAUAUCAUGUCCUCAAAGUUUUAGUACGGCCUUGCUAUCAUUGUUAUCAAGUCCUGGGGGUUUGAAUAUCUGGAAUUUAGCUGCUUACCUAGUUUUCAGUAUUUAUAAAAUGGUUACAGAAUAGUUACGAGCCCUAUCUUUUCAGUUAGUAUUUUUAAUAGUUAAGCAUAGUCAGUUCAAUAUUUCAGGUCUUUCAGUUGGGAGUAGGAUUUAGCACCGAGUGAAUAUAGGGAUAAAGACUUCUCUGCCAGUUAGGAAGAGUCGUUAGUAGCAGUCCUUGCAUUCUAGAACUACAUAACCAGCGUAGGAUAUGAGGAGUCACCCGUCAGUUUAGGCUUGACUCUGUCCAGGUGUCACUUGUCAGUUUAGGGUUGACAUCCUGGUUGUUUAGUAGCUUAGUGGAUCCAUGCAAUCAUGUGUUAGUACCCAUGGCACGGUACGUCACUCUUUCAACUGGGGUCAUAGGUUGGACCUCAAUUUGCUCAUUGGGGCAUGUCGGUUAGAUGAUAGCUUCCACAGUCUCAGUUCAGUAUUCAGUAUACUUCAGUUCAAGUUUGCAUUGACCAUCACAUAUAGAUAUAAUUUAUUCAGUUAUCAGAUUUCAGUAUUUCAAUUUACAGACUAUUUUUAGAAUCAUAUUAUAUGCUUGGUCAUGUAUUCUCAGAUUUUACAGUUUUCAUGCAUUCUCAGAUUUUAUAGCUUUCACGCAUUUAUAUUCAGUAAUCUCAUAAUAACCAGUCAGUCUUUACUUCAUGAAUGUUCACUCAGUUAUCUCAUGUUAUUCAUCCAUUUAUUACUUCAUAUUCAGUUAUCCCAUGCUAAUCAUUCAGUCAGUUAUUACUCAUGCACAUGAAAUAAUGCAUAUUAGCCUAACCUUAUUUAGUAUACCAGUAUAUUCAAAGUACUGAUUGCAUACUCGUUUUUUGCGCUAUGAUGUUUAAUAUCAUAGGUUCGGACGCUCAGUUCCCUAAUCAUGCAUAGGCAUACCAGAUUAUCUGUUGUAGCAGUGGUGAGUCCUCAUACUUUGAGGACAGGGGUUAUUUACCUCAGUUUAUUUUUAUUCAGUCAGAGUUAGUUGGGGGUUUGUCCCAUCAACUCCACAGUCAGUUAAUUAGAGGCUUUCAGGCACUUUUAGUCAGUUAUUCAGUUAUUAGAUGAUAUUGACAAUCUUACAAUAUCAUUUUCAGACAGAUGUUUUCAGUAUUUCGAUUCAGUAUCAUUUUUUGUAUUUAAACCUUAAGGAAUUUUGAGUUAAGUUCCGCACAUGUUCCCUGUCAUUCUAUUCAGUGCUCACAGCAGGUACCAAUGGGGGUUAGCUUGUAGUUACUUGUGACCGUAAGCACCGUGUAGCGCCCAAGGGGUAAUCUCGGGGCGUUACGGUGGGUACUUAGUGCUUCUGGGAAACAGUCCCAUCAGUUGGAAGUCCAAGAAACAAGACACUAAUUCCCUAUCAUCUGCAGAAGCAGAGUACAUAUUCUUAAGGAAAGUGGUGGGUGAGCUGGUGUAGCUAGACAAGAUGUUUAAUGAGCUAAACAUUUAUCAUCCAUCUUCUAUUGAAGUGUAUUGUGACAGCCAAUCAGCAAUACACAUAGCUCAAAAUCAAGUCUUUCUUGAGCGUACGAAGCACAUUGAAGUUGACUGCCAUUUUGUUAGGAAAAAUCUUCAGGAGGGGCUUUUCACUCUUCAUCAUGUUGCUACCAAUGAUCAGUUAGCAGAUAUCCUCACAAAAGCACUCACUGGAGUUAAACAUUCCCAUGUUCUGUCCAAGUUGGCCGUGAAGUCAUCACCUCCAACUUGAGGAGGCAUAUUGAAGAUUAAUUAUAUCUGUGCUUUGCGUUAAUCAGGAUUAGUAAUUAGUUAGUUAAUUGUAGGUUAGGAGUUAGUUAGUUAGUUGAUUGGUU